rnacentral:lncRNA from 1 species
AAUACUUGUUAAAUGCUCCAGUGUUAUCUCCGCCUAGUCUAAAUAGACCAUUAAUUUUGUACUUAUCAGUGUUUAGUAAUUCUAUGGGAUGUGUGCUUGGCCAACAUGACGAGUCGGGAAGAAAAGAGAAGGCGAUAUGCUACCUCAGCAAGAAAUUCACAGAGUGUGAGAUGAGAUAUUCGCCAAUUGAGAAAUUAUAUUGUGAUUUAAUCUGGACGACUCGAAGGUUGAGGCAAUAUAUGUUAUAUCAUACGACUUGGCUAAUUUCAAAACUUAAUCUAUUAAAGUACAUGAUGGAGUCAACAGCACUAAAUGGAAGAAUGGCAAGAUGGCAAAUAUUGCUCUCAGAGUUUGAUAUAGUCUAUGUAAGUCAAAAAGCUAUAAAAUAAAGUGCAAUAGCAGAAUUUUUGGCUAGCAGAGCUUUAGAAGAUUAUGAGCCAUUAAACUUCGAUUUCCCUAAUGAGGAGUUUAUGUAUGUGGCAACUAUUGAAGAACGUCCAUGGAAGAUAAACUUUGAUGGCGCAUCCAAUGCGGUGAGAAAUGGAAUUGGGGCAGUCUUGGUAUCCCCAAAUGGCGAUUAUUAUCCAUUCAUGUGCAAGUUGGAUUUUGAUUGCACAAACAAUAUGGCCGAGUAUGAAACGUGCAUCAUGGGACUUCGAGCGACUAUAGAGCGAGGAAUAAGAACCUUGGAAGUAUAUGGAGACUCUGCGUUAGUAAUUUACCAGCUUAGAGGUGAAUGGGAGACAAGGGAUCCUAAAUUGAUCAAUUAUCGAAAAGUAGUUUUGGGGUUACUUGACGAGUUCGAUGACAUCACUUUCAAUUAUAUCCCACGAGACGAAAACCAGAUGGCAGAUGCUCUAGCAACCUUGGCUUCAAUGAUUAAAGCGAAUAAAGAGGAGGAGAUGAAACCCAUUCAGAUGAGUACUUUUGAGAAUUGAGGAAGAAGAAAAGGAUGAUAACCCUUGGUAUCAGGAUAUAUUACGAUAUGUAAAAGAUCGUAAAUACUAGAGUAGGCAAUUGAAAAAGAUAAGCGAAGUUUAAGGAGAUUAGCCUGUGACUACAUUUUGGAUGGGGAUAUCUUGUACAAAAGAAGAAAAGACCAAGUACUGUUGAGAUGUGUUGACGCCGUGGAAGCUAAGUUAAUCUUGGAAGAAGUUCACGAGGGUGUUUGUGGGACGCACGCUAAUGGUUUCACGAUGGCUAGACAAAUCAUGAGGUUUGGAUAUUAUUGGUCUACCAUGGAAGGGGAUUGUAUCAACUACGCCAAGCAAUGCCAUAAAUGUCAGAUUUAUGGAGACAAGAUUUAUGUACCACCUUCACCUCUACAUGUUAUGACUUCUCCAUGGCCUUUUUCCAUGUGGGGCAUGGAUGUCAUUGGACCAAUAUCACCAAAAGUUUCAAAUGGGCAUCGCUUUAUCUUUGUGGUCAUUGAUUACUUCACGAAGUGGGUAGAAGCUGUUUCUUAUGCGAAUGUUACUAAGUCGGCUGUGAGUCGAUUCUUGAAGAAAGAUAUCAUUUGUCGGUAUGGGAUGCCAGAAAGGAUCAUAUCAGACAAUGCAUUGAACUUGAACAACAGAACGAUAGCAGAAGUUUGCAGUCAGUUCAAGAUUAAGCAUCAUAACUCUUCUCCGUAUCACCCAAAAAUGAAUGGGGCAGUGGAAGCUGCUAACAAAAACAUCAAGAAGAUAGUGGAAAAAUGACUAAACCUACAGAGAUUGGCAUGAGAAAUUACCAUUUGCACUCUUAGCCUACCGAACGUCCAUCAGAACCUCAACUGGGGCAACUCCUUUCUCGUUGGUUUAUGGGAUGGAGGUAGUGUUACCCAUUGAAGUUGAAAUAUCGUCUCUCCGAGUCUUGUCAAAGAUAAAGUUGGAUGAAGCUGAAUGGAUACAAUCGCGAUAUGAUCAGUUGAACUUGAUUGAGGAAAAGAGGCUAAGGGCCAUUCGUCAUGGUCAGAUGUAUCAGAAGCGAGUGAUGCGAGCUUACGACAAGAAAGUGCAAGCAAGAGAAUUCCACGAGGGGGAUCUUGUGCUGAAAAAGAUCCUUCCCAUUUAGAAGGACUUUAGAGGAAAAUGGAUGCCGAAUUAGGAAGGGCCGUAUGUCGUGAAGAAGGCUUUCUCUGGGGGUGCAUUGAUCUUAACGGAAAUGGAUGGGAAGAGUUUAUCCAAUCCAGUGAAUUCAGACUCAGUCAAAAAGUACUUUGUCUAAAGAAAAGGAGAAUCCAGGGUGAAAACCCGCAAAGGGCGCCUUGAGUUUUCAAAAAAAAAAUAAAAAUGGAGAGGCCAAGGUGAAAACCCGCAAAAGGCGCAUUGUGACCAAAGGGGUUUUGAGUUGAAAACCCGAAAGGGUAGCUCAAAUUUUGAAGAGCACAUGGUAAUCUUGCUAUAUCUGAUUCAACAAAGAGCGAAGCGUGUUGCAUAUCGGGGCAUCAACAAAGUACUUUGGAUCUUUUAAACACACGUUGAACUCAAGAAAGUCUUUAUGGAGCUGGUGUAUAGACGCUCAAGCGGCGAUAUCUAGGGCAUCUAACUUGUGUCCUGUUUGCUAUCUUUAGAUUCUCUUUCUUCUCAAAGAUAGGCUAUCAGAUUAAUUUCCUUUGUAUUUUUGACAAAUUCAUUCAAAUCUAAUUAUUCUUAAGAUCAAAUUCAUAUUCCAUUAUUCUUAAAGUAUGUUGCAUUAAAAUAAUGAUAGAUGAACUAAAUAAUUUUCACAAAUAAAGUUUUGCUCAUUACUGUGGAAAUUUAUAGAUAAUACAAGAAACUAAAAUAGAACAAUUGUUCGAGGAAUUCACAUAAUUGAGGUUUGAAAAAACUCGAGGAAAUUCUUUCUUUAGCCCAAAAUGAUGAUUGGACAAAUCAAACGCUACGAUCCUAAGAGAGGAUCAUCUUACAGACAUUUUUGGUAGGUCAUAGCAUUUAAACAAUGGUACAAACCCACAGGCUGAGUAGGAAUGAUACUUCGAGAGAAAUAAGGAUGAACUUCGACAAAGGAAUGAGUAGUGACGUUUGGAAUAGGGGUCAUAUUCAUAAACAGUUUGCAUUAUAAUACGUUUAAUUAAGAGCAUUUGACUCACUUCGAUCAUAGCAUCCUAAUCAUUAGGCAUGAACUCAUACCCAUUAUACAGGUUAUGUCCUUCAAGGGACAAUGAAGAUUGAUGCGCCUUAAUAGUAGGGUAACAGGCUAAAGCAUAGUAGAUCUGACCUUCAGGUGUUUACGCUGAAACAGAUCCAAGAUGAUUUGGCAUCUCUGUAUUGUCAAAGAACAAAUCGAAGAAACAGAUUUGGCAUCUCCGUAUUCGAAAGAGAGCAGAUCGGAGACAUAGUAGAUCUGACAUUCGGAUGUUUUCACAUCGAAGCAGAUCCAAGAUAAUAGAUUUGGCAUCUCUAUAUUCGACGGAGAGCAGAUCGAAGACAUAGCAGAUCUAACCUUCAGAUGUUUUCACAUCGAAGUAGAUCCAAGAUGAUUUGGCAUCCUUACGUUUACAAGGAGCAGAUCGAAGACAUAGCAGGUUGGCUUUCACUUGUUUGCGCUGAAGCAGAUCCAAGAUGAUUUGGCAUCUCUGUAUUGUCAGAGAGCAAAUCGAAGAAACCGAUUUGGCAUCUCCAUAUUCGACGGAGAGAAGAUCGAAGACAUAGCAGAUCUAACUUUCAGAUGUUUUUGCAUCGAAGCAGAUCCAAGAUGAUUUGGCAUCCUUGUGUUUACAAGGAGCAGAUCGAAGAUAGCAGAUUUGGCAUCUUUGUAUUGUCAGAGAGCAGAUCGAAGAUAGCAGAUUUGGCGUCUCUGUAUUGUCAGAGAGCAGAUUUGGCAUCUCUGUAUUGUCAGAGAGCAAAUCGGAGAUAACAGAUUUGGCUUUCGUGAGUUUGCAAGAAACAGGUUGAAGAAAGCUAGUUUGACAUUUCUGAAGCUAUCAGAAUACCUUUGGGGAAGGUAAGGAUCAAGAUUUCGAGAUUUGGCCAGGCCGGGCAAAUUUGGUCCUUUUGUAAUCUUUGUUCUAUUCCUGUUACACAGUAACAAGCAAAGAGGGGUAGCUGUAACAGCCCAAAUUCGCCCGGGCCCAUGAAAUAAAGUGUUCAUUUACAGUCCAUUUACAAUAAACAUGCCUCAAAGCCUGAUAAGCCCAAAACCCAUUACACUUGUAGCCCAACUGAAUACUUAAAACUACCCAAUACCCGGUUACACCCAACCCACAAAUGGAUGGCCCAAGUAGACCCAAAGCAGCGAAGCCCAGGAAGACCCAAAACCUAAACUGAAUCAAGAAACCCUAGGGUUUCCAGAAGCACUAGCGCAGCAAGCAUGAUCCCAACCGUCAUGCCAUAGUCAACGACCCCUCGUCUCACACUGCAAUUAGUGCGCCUGCAUGGCCACUGCAGGAAUUCUCGUCGUCACCUGCAAAAGAAGGAAAGAACUACGACAAAAAAGAGGCAAACAAGGAAAGAAAUCGAAAGAUUUUUUCCCAAAAAUGUAACCGGGGGUUAUAAAACCCCACUUUUUUUUUAAAUUUGUAUACACAUUUUUUAUACAGCGAUUCAAUAAAAACAGAAUACAUUUUACACUAAAAGAAACCAACAGUCGACUGAAGAGUACAGAGGUGAUUAUUUUAUUCUUUUUUUUUCUCUAAAUACAUACUGAUAAUAAAAAAUAAAAGAACAGAAACGUACCGAUUUAAUCCACGUUGUAAAAGGAAACUUUCCAGUUUCCAACCGCCGUAAGUGGUGGCAUUGGCGGGGACGCGUGAGACCAUGCAAGCCUCAGACGGAGUCUUGAUAGAACUCCGAGGACAUCUCCCCCAACCCUCUCAGAGGGUUUCUUUCUUUUUCUUUUUUAGAACAAGGUUUCAAAAUGAUUUCAAGCUUAAUAUUUGGCUUAUAUAGUCUUACUAAAACGGUGUCGUUUUGGCUUAACUCAAUAAGCACAAAAUGACGUCGUUUCGAGGCUUAGGAUCCGCGUGUUGACCCGAUUACCCGGGGAGGAUCCGCGUGUUUUCGUAAAAUGGGAUAAUUUCUCAAUUGGUCCUUCCGUGUUUUCUGUAUUUGCAAUUUCAUUUUAUUUUAUUAUAAUUUGGCCCUAACAUUUUGAUUUUAUUUCAAUUUAGUCCCAAUAGCUCCUUUAAGGCCUAUUCUGGGAAAGAUGUCAUUUCGGGGAUAAGGGCUAAUUUCCCAAUGAGUCCCUCAACUUUUAACGCGCGUUCCAAAAGGCCCAAAAUUCAUUUUUUUUAUUUUUAAAUUAGCCCUAAAGUUUUGAUCAUUGCUAAUUUUAAUCAUUUUUUUAAAUUUAUUUAUUUUAAAUAUUAUUUGUUAUUUGUUUAUACAUAUAAAAAUUUAUUUAUUUGUAUAUUAUUUUUGUUAUUUUCAAGUAUAUUUAUAUAUUAUAUUAUUUAUUAAUAUAUAUUAUUUUAUAUUUUUAUAUUAUUAUAUAUAUUAUAUUAUCUUAUGUUUUAAUAUACAUUAUAUAUUAUAUUAUAUUAUAUUAUUUUAUAUUUUAUCAUAUAUUUAUAUCUUAUUACAUAUUAUCAUGUAUAAUUUUAAAAUUUUAUAAAUUAUUAUUAAACAUUAUGUUUUUUAUAUAUAUUAUUAUUAAAUAUUUAAAAUUCAUUUAUCAUUACAUUAUUUUAUUCUUUUAUAUUUUAUAUGUUAUUUUAUUAUAUAUAUAUUUAUAUUAUUAAUAUAUUAUUACACUAUUAUGAAAUUUAUAAAUUAUUAUUAAGCAUUAUAUUUAUGUGUAUUAAACAUGUAGUAUGUAUGUUAUUAUAAAGUUCUAUUAUUUUAUAUAUAUAUUAUACAUCGUUUUUAGUAUGUAUUAAGCACUUUAAAAUUUCCCUUUAUUAUUCAUUGUGCCAAAUAUGUGAUUCUUCCUAAGUUUUAUUUUUUUUUUUAUAUAUGUUCAUAUGUUAUUAAUAUAUUUGUGUUAAUUGUUUAAAUAUGUAAAUUCAUUACACGAGUUAUUUGUCAUCAUUGAUUUUAUAUGUUUGCAUGAAAAUUAUUUAUUUAUGUAAGUUAUAUUUUGGUGAAGUAUGAUUAUAUAUCUUAUCCUCAUUGUUUACUAUGUUGUAUUCUUGCAUGAAAUAUUAAUGUAUAAAGAUUUAUGAUUAUAAAAUAUUAAUGUAUGUUGUGAUGUUAGCUUUUAGGUUAUAUUUGUAUUAAAGCGUAUAUGAUUUUUAUUAUUUUUGAUAUCUUGUAACCUGUUAAAUGCAUCACUGUUUUAAAGAAAUUUAUACCCAAAAGGAUUUUUUUUCUUUGAAGUAAUACUUUUCGUAUUUAGGAAUUCGGGAAAUAGUGCCCUAACAUGCUGGGUUGCGAUUUCCCGUUUGUCUAAAUGCCUAAAGUAUCCUUCUAAAUUAUUUUUCUAAAUUACGAGGUGAUUUCAGUACAAAAGUUUGAGAAUAUCGUGUCCUAUCAUGCUGGAUGUGAUGUUCGUGUUCUUUUGGAACGAAGGAUUCUCGGUUUUUAAACUCAAACUGUUCCGAUUUAAAAAAAAGGAUCUUAUUUUGAAUUAUUUCAAACUUCGACAGUAAGACAGAAAACAAUUCAAUUUGGUACCAAUUUUGGGCGUUGUGAGGGUGCUAACCCUUCCUUACACGUAACCGACUCCCGAACCCAUUUUCUGAUUUUACGUAGACCAAAACAUUUUAUGAGGUGAUCCAAUUACACCUAAAAAGGUUGGUGGCGACUCCCGUUUUCAAAAUACCCUUUGCCUUUUUUUUUAAAAAAAAAAGAGGAUUCGACAACUUUCACAUUUUGUUACCUUAAUAUUAUCGAUAGCUUGAUUUUUGUUGCUAUCAAGCAUGUGAUGUCAUGAUUCGUAGUUGAUGGGAAACAUAUUGGCAUUUCGUGCUAUAAUGCUGUAAUGACCCAAAUUUUUAGGUCAUCGAAAAAGUGAGUUUUUGGGUCUUCGAUUUUGGAAAUUAGAUUCGUAAAUAUUUGUUAGAAAUAUUUACGAAGUUAAGUGAGAGGUUAAUUAGAUUUUAAAUAAGUGAAUUUAGCUUAAUCAAGGCUAAUUUAGGGAUUGGACUAGACUGAAUAUAGUGUAAAAGUUUAAUUAUAAACUAUAGAAAAUUCAAGGGACUAAAUUAGCAAAUAAGCCUUAGGAGACAAGUGUGUGGUAUGUAUGAAUACAUUUGUAUUAUUUUAAUUGGUACAAAUGUAUGUAUAAAUAAGUAUUUACUUAUUAAAUAAGAAAUAAUAACUAUAAUAAAUUAAUAAUAUAAUAAUAUAUAUGUUAUAAUAAUAGAAUAAAGAAAAUAAAAUGAAUAAAACAUAAAGAAAAAGAAAGGAGAAAGGGACAAAACAAAGCAGGGAAAGAAAGAAAGAAAAAGAAAAGGAAAAAUUAGGGCUUUAAGGUUUCAAGCUUAAUUGGUAAGUCAAUUUAAUCCCUUUUCUUGCAAUUUUGAUGUCUAUGGAAUCCUAGGAAAGAAUACUACUUGAGUUAUGUUGAAAUUUAGAAAGUUAUUGAAUUUUUAGAUGUUGAUUAAGUUGAAUAAAUGGAAGAAUUAAGUGUUAAUUUGAUGGAAAUUCAGGUUAGAAGUGGGAGAAGGAUUAAAUUGCAAAAGAAAAUAUAGGUCUUGUAAUAAUAGGGAUUGAAUUGAGAAGAUGUUAUAAUUAAUGUUUUAUGUUGUAAAUUUAAGAGUUGGAAUAGUUUAAAAUGAUAAUUGAAUGCAAAUAUAGGAUUUAUUUUGAAGAAAAAGAAUGGUUAUGGUGGAAAGACUAAAUUGGAAUUUAAGUAAAAGAUACAUGGAAAUACAAGAGUGUGUUAUUAAAUAAUAUAUAUUGAUAAUUUUAAAUGUUAAAUUUUAUGUAGCCAACGUAGCACCGGAAACAUCAUCGAAAAAGGGAAAGGAAAAAGUGAACGAGGAUAUCGAGUAAACUCAAGAAAUUCGGUUUGUAUUUCUAUAAACUGUGCUUAAUGAUUUAAUACAAUGUAAUUGCUAUUCUUAGUAGUUAGAAUGUAUAAUGAAUGAUAUGAUGGAAAAUGUUACUGUUUCUGUAUUAUAAUGAUAUGAUUUGAAUACCCUAUUAACAGUGUCGGGCUAGUUGGAUAUAAUUGGCAUGCCAUAGGAUUGGAAGUGUUUAGGGAUAUUCCGACUGUGUGUUGAUAAGACACUAUAUGUGUCGACUACUGUGACUGUUCCGGAUUCGUUCCGAAGAGGUACUCUGUAUCUGACUAUGACUGUUACUGCUACUGUUAUUGUUAACCUACGGUGUAUUCCGGUUUCGACCGAUGAAACACUGUACAUUGUCCCCUGUGUGUGGGUUGGAUCCGUGUACCCAUCCAGGUCCGAGUUAUGUUAAUAGGGGUAAUUGAAAGUACUAAAGACAAAGACUGACUGCUAUUGAUUAUGUGACUGUUAUACAAGUAUUGAAAGAUAUUGAAUGAUAUGAAAAGUAUAAAAAGAAUUGUUUAAAUACAUUUAAGAGCUAUAAGUUAAAGGUAAGUGAUGAAGCUAAUAAGAUUAUGAAAUAAAAAGUUAUGUUACAAUGUAUAUACAUAGCUUAUUAUUGUUUUAAGUAUUAGUUUAUAGAAAUACCACUGAGUGUAUACUCAGCGUACGGUAUGUUUCCGUGCACAGGUCUAGGUACGAAAGAAAGUUAAGGACUCAGCAUCCAAGCCAAUCCCGGACUUAAAGUGGUGAAUACUUUUCUUUUGGUAAAAUGGCAUGUAUCUAGGUUGUUAAAGUGUUAUUUUGUACAUAAUAGUGAACAAACAUGAAAGUUGUUGAAGCAUGGUAUGAAAUGUGUAUCUGUUGGAAAUUAAAUUUAUAUGAGUUUGACUAGUAUGAUAAUGUUGUAAAUUUUGAUAUGAAUUGUGGUAAAUGAUCCUUAAGAGGUUUUGAAGUGAAUGAAUGAAUAUUUGCUAGGUUUAAGUGGCAUAAUGUAUGAUAUUUGGUUUAAGAAUUAUCAGUAAAUGUUUGGGCAAGAAUUAGAUGUGUUUAGCAAGUGAAAAUAGCAUAAAAAUGGUCAAAAAUCAUAUUUUCACACAGCCAAGGCACAUGGGCGUAUGCUCAGGCCGUGUGGCCCUCUAUUUAUGUCACACGGGUUGUAACACCUUGAAAAUUUCUACAGUAAGAUAUUAUCCUUAAUAUAGUAAAAUAAGGAAAUAAAGUGACAAGAAAAGGAAAAUUUGAGUUAUGUCACUGGGAAGUAUAUUAUGAUAUACUGAUUUAAGAAAGGACUAAAUUGUAAAAGUGAGAAAAGUUUUAUGGCCCAAGAGUAAAUACUUAAAAUUUGAGGGAUUAAAAUGUAAAUAUGAAAAGUUGAAGGACUAAUAGUGAAAAUAUUUUAAGGGUGGAAUGAUCUAGAAAUCAAGGAAAAUUGAUGAAUUAGGACCAAAUUGAAUAGGUGAAGAAUUAUGAGGGACUAAAUUGCAAUUUUACCAAAUUAAGUGAUGACUCAAGAAUGGAAUUUUAAAAGAUCACUAAGGGCAAAAUGGUCAGUUGGAAGAGAGAGAAAUCUAGAGACAAUGAUGAUGUUGGAGAUAUUUUAGAUAAAUUUAUUUGUUUAUUAAUACUUUAAAUUGAUUUUUAAAUAAUAUUUUAUUAUUAUUUUAUUUAGUAUAUAUAAGGAAAAAAAGAUGAAGAAUCAUCAUAUUUUCGUUCCAUGCAAACCAACGUGAGAGAGAGGAAGAAGAAAAUAAGUUUUCUUUCUUUACAAUUUGGUCCUUCCACCAAAAAUUCAUCAUUUUCACCUAGAAAUCAAAAGAAUUUCCAUAGCUACUAAGAGAGAAAAAUGUUAAGGAGACCAUGAGGAGUUAGAAUAUCAAGUUGGAUUCAAGAAAUAGAAGCUGGAGGAGAGAGAAAAUCAAGUUAAAGACUAGUAUCAAUAGAACAAGGUAAGUACAUCAAGAUUUCAAUAUGUUUUUAAGUUUGUUAUUAUUGACAAAGCAUGGAAAUAAUGUAAUAGUAGAGUUUUAUUACAUAAGGUCCUAUAUUCUUGAUAUGUUAAUGAAGAGAAAAUAAGAGAAAGUGAUGAGAAAUGGCGUAGAAAAAGAAAAUAAGGGUGUUAUAACAUGGUAAUUAAUAUCUUGCACUAAAAUAGUUUUGAACAGCAGCAGUAGUCUAACUUUGAAAAAUCAUCAAAAAUUGUAGAAAUUUAAUUAUAGGAUGAAUAAAAUAUGAAAUUAAAUCUUAUUAAGUAUAGUUUCUUAUAGAAGAAAUUAUGUAAGAAAUGGAAUUGUAAAUCAUGAGAUAUGAUGAAUUUUGUGAGACAAGGUCAGAAUGAUUUCAGGUUCCCCUGUUCUGACUUUGUAAAAUCAUAAAAAAUUGGAUAAAAAUAAUUAUGGGCUUAAAUUUAUAUAUUUAGAAUUAUGAAUGAGUCUAUUUUAAAUAGAAAUAAACGGGAACAUCAUUCUAAUUCUGUAUUAGGACAUAAUUAAUUUUUAGUGAAGAAGGGUCACAACUGCUAGACAGCAAAAUAAGGGUGAAUUUAAAGAAUAAACUGUACUUAUUGGCUAAACCAAAAAUUCUGAAAAUUUAAUGUAAAGAAGAUAUAUGAGUCUAGUUUCAGGUAAAAUUAUCUGAUCUUAAUUUGGAGUUCUAUAUCUCUAGAUAUAAAUAAUUUAGUGAUUAUGACGCAGAUAGACAGCCUGAAUAUUCAUAAAAGUAAAUAAUAAAAAUUAUAGAUAAUGUUACUUACAAGUGUGUAUAUACAUUAAGGAUGUGGAAUGGAGAAGAGGAGGAGGAAAAAUAUGUAUGAAUAUUCAUCUAGCAUGGCUAAUUUGCAUAUUUUAGGCUCAAGGACUAAAUUGAAUAAAAGUAGAACUUUAUGGUAAUUUUGUAAAAAAUGUCAGAAAUGACCAAAUUGCAUGAAAUGGAUUAUUUUAUUAUUUAAAUUAUAAAAUUGAAUGAAAUUAUUAAUUUAGUUCAAGAUCGGGGGAAAACAUGUUUUAGGUAUUAAAUUGAAAAGAGUUGAAAUUAUGGAAAAUUCUGAUAUUUUAUAAAAUUCAUGGACUGUUAUCAAUAUGUAUGAGAAUAAUAGCUGGAAAUAAGGAUUAAAUUGCAAGAAUUUUAUUUUCCUGACCCUAAGGAUGAAAUCGUCAUUAAUUAAAAGUUUAGGGGCAAAAUGGUAAUUUUGCCUAGAGCGUUAAUUAAAUGCAUUAGAAUAUGAAAUGAAUGAAAAUGAUGAUCAAAUUUAUUUAUAAAGAUCCGGACGACUCAAAUACGAGACUUGAUCGUGGAAAAGAAAAAAUAUCGGAUUAAUGAAAUUAUAAACACAAACAAGCAAAGAGGUAAGUUUGUGUAACUUGAAUUGUAUUUUUAAAUACUUGAAAUAUGUGGUUAUGUGAUGAAAAUAUGAUUUGAAUGUUCAAUUCAUGAUAAUUGAUGAAAUAUUGAUAAUACUCGAUAUAAAUUGAAAAUAAAUCUCGGUUGAAUAGAAUGGAAUUCGAUAGAUCAUUGGAAAAGGAAUUGACGGUAAAAAGGAUCUAGCCCGGACGAGUGAUCCUAUUCUGAUAUAGCCCUCCCGAAGAAUACGUGUAAAAUGGAUUUAGCCCGGAUGGGUAAUCCGAAUUAGGGUCUGAAUUUAGCCUGGACUGGUAAUUCAGAUCCAAGCUCAUUAGAGUAAUUGUCGUUGCAGGGGAUUUAGCCUGGACUGGUAAUCCCGACAAUACUCUAUGAGUUUAUAUUACAGGGGAUUUAGCCUGGACUGGUAAUCCCGCCAUAAGGAUGAGGUUCGCGGGAGUGUGCUUUCUGAAAUGAAAUGUGUAAGACCAUGGUUGAAAGAUACCAUGGCAACAUGAUAUGAAAUGUGUAAGACCAUGGUUGAAAGACACCAUGGCAACAUGAUAUGAAAUGUGUAAGACCAUGGUUGAAAGACACCAUGGCUGUAACGCCCCCACGCCCGAGACCGUCGCCGGAGUCGAGUAUGAGGUGUUACUAAGCUUAAUUUAACAUUUUUAGAACUUUGAAUUAUUUGUUUCUACAUUCACAGUUUUUAAGCUACUUGCGUCACAGUCACAAGAAAAAUCAUAUCUCGAGUUACGAAACUCAAAAUCAAGAUCCGUAAAUUUUCCCUGAAUCUAGACUCAUAUAUCUAUCUAUUAAUUUUUUUAUAAAAUUUUUGGUGGGGUAAAUUAGUACAGUUUAUUAGUUAAAGUUACCCCUGUUUCAGGACUUGACUGGUCUGACCUCUGUUUACUACGAACCACAUUUCUCUCUGUAAAAAAUUCAUAUGACUAUGAGGUUUGUUUCUCCUAAAACUAGACUCAAUAAGGAUUCUGAGAAUAUAAAAUAAACCACCUAAUUAUAUCUUAAAAAUUUAUGGUGAAUUUCUAAAGUGAACAGGGGAUUCAGAAACUGCUAUGACCCUGUUUCACUAAAAUUCAAAUAUCUUCUAACAUAUAAUUCCUUUACCUGUUUCAUUUGUUUCAUGUGAAACUAGACAUAAUAAUCUUAAAUUUGAUAUGUAGUCCAUCACCAAAUUCAAUUGCUAUGAUUUUUAGUAAAUUUUCAAACUCACGUCAGUGUUGCUGCUGUAUUCUAUUUAUGGCAAAUUUCAUCCCUCUUAUGAGUUUUUAUGCACUAAGUAUCUUAGUAAUUUUCCUUAUCAUCAAACAUAAUCUAAACUUACCAUUUUCAUAAUUUAUAAUUAUCAAAUAUUUUCUCAACCAUUCUGUCACCAUAUCAUAAAAUCAUUUACACAAAAUAAGUAUAUUGCUAUACAUGCCAUACUUAAAUUUACAAGCCAUUUACCAAAAAUCUUCCGGAUAGUGUGACUGAGCCUUCGACCUAUCCCGACUCCUGAACUGGCUUGUCCAAAACUACAAUGAGUAAGAAGGAGGGAGUAAGCAUAAAUGCUUAGUAAGUUCAUAUGUAAAUAAUAAAUAACAUAACAAACAAUCAAACUAAUCAACAUUAGCAUAUAUCAUCAACACACUUAUCACAUUUUUUAAUCAUUUUUCAUCAUCUUAUUACCUUAUCGUGGUUGUAAUCAACACUCAACCCGAGGGUUAAAUACAUACCUGUCCAAAAUAUCCAUUUCUCAUCACUUACCAAUACGUCUCUUUUCAUCUCGAGUAUUCCUCCAUUUGAGUAAAACUUUACCCGUUGAACACAUCGGAAUAUAAUUCGGAUACAUGGAUAAUUUGCAUAUAAGUGCCACAUAUUCAAUCAAGCAAUCAUGUAACCCGCCCAUAAGCGAACUCGGACUCAACUCAACAAGCUCGGGCAUUCGAAUCCAUAAGUGAACUCGGACUCAACUCAACGAGUUCGGAUGCCUAGUUACAUCUCACGAACUCGGACUCAACUCAACGAGUUCAGACAUUCGCAUCCAUAAGUGAACUCGGACUCAACUCAACGAGUUCGGAUGCUCAACCAUCCUAGUGACAUGUCACUUGUAUCCUAAUCUAUUCCUAAGGUUCAAACGGGCUUUUUUCCUCGAACACUUAUCCUUGCCGUCUUCCGUAGAAUGCCGAAAUCAAUACUCAGUAACAAUUAUAUUUAACAAGUAGCUCACAUAAUUUACAUAUUAUUUGAAAUUAACCACAAAGCAUACAUUUCAUAAUAAAAUUCAGCAUAACAUAUAAUUAACAUCAAUAACUUAAAAAUAACCAUUAUGCUACAUUAUUUACACAUGAACUUACCUUGGUACCAAAAUAUAAAGAUUUUGCAAUUUAGUCCACAAUCUUUUCUUUUCCUCGAUCACGACUUGAAUCUCGUUUCUCUUGAUCUAUAAUGCCAAAUUAAUCUUAUUUAAUACAUACAUUCAUCAAAACAGCAUUUAAUACGAACUUUGGAAAAAUUACACUUUUGCCCCUAAACUUUUGCAUAAUUACACUUUUGCCCCUAGGCUCGGGAAUUAAACUUUAUUCCUUAUUCUUAUGUUUUAUAACAUGCUGAUCACUUUUCCCUUCUAUGGCAACAUCAAAUUCUCUCUCUAACAUAUACUUGUGACUAUUAGGUAUUUUUACCGAUUAAGCCCUUUUACUCGUUUUCACUCAAAACCGAGUAGCACAAGUUGUCUAACAUAAUUUAAAACCUCAUAUUCUAUCAUAAAACAUCAAAGUACACAAAUUUCACCUAUGGGUAUUUUUCCAAAUAUAAACCCUAGGUUGAAUUAUUGCUAACAUAAGCUUAAUCGAGCUACCGAGAUUUCAAAAACGUAAAAAUCAUUAAAAACGGGGCUUAGAAUCACUUACUAUGGAGCUUGGAAGCUUGAAACAAACCCUAGCUAUGGAGAACCCUUGAAAUUUCGGCCUAAUGAAGAAGAUGGACAAAAAUUGGCUUUUAAUUUUGUUUUUAAUUCAUUUUAAUAACUAAAUGACCAAAAUACCCUUACUACUAAACUUUCCAAAAUUUCCUUCCAUGUCCUAAAUUUGUCCAUGAACUUAAAAUUGGUCAAAUUGCUAUUUAAGACCUCCUCAUUAAUAUUCCAAAACAAUUUCAUACUAAAAACUUCUAGAAUGCAAGUUUUGCAACUUAUUCGAUUUAGUCCCUACUUUCAAUUUAAGCACUUUAGGCAUAGAAUUUCAUCACGAAAUUUUCACACAAUCAUGCAAUCAUAUCAUAAUCAUCAAAAUAAUUAUAAAAUAAUUAUUUCUAUCUCGGAUUUGUGGUCACGAAACCACUAUUCCGAUUAAGCCCUAAUUCAGGAUAUUACAACUCUCCUCCCCUUUUAAGGAUUUUCGUCCUCAAAAAUCUUACCGAUAAACAGGUGUGGAUAUUGGUUUCUCAUAGUUUCUUCAGGUUCCCAUGUAGUCUCUUCUUUCCCAUGCUUUUGCCACAACACUUUCACAAGUGCAACACUUUUAUUUCUUAGUUGUUUGACUUCUCGAGCUAAAAUCUUAAUCGGUUCUUCUUCAUAAGUCAUAUCCGGUCGCAGUUCAAUUUCUGUCGGUGAAAUUAUAUGUGAAGGAUCCGAACGAUACCGGCGUAACAUAGAUAUGUGAAACACAUCAUAAAUCUUCUCUAAUUCGGGUGGUAACGCUAGCCGAUAUGCUACCGGUCCAACUUUUUCAAUUAUUUCAUACGGUCCAAUAAAACGCGGACUUAACUUGCCCUUUCGUCCAAAUCUAAGGACUUUCUUCCAUGGAGACACUUUCAAAAAUACCUUAUCACCAACUUGAAACUCCAUUUGUUUUCGUUUCAAAUCCGCAUAAGAUUUCUGUCUAUCUGAAGCAGCUUUCAAACAAUCUCGAAUCACUUUCACCUUUUCUUCGGUUUCUUUUAUUAAAUCAACUCCAUAAAUCUAAUUUUCCUUGAGUUCAGUCCAAUACAAUGGCGUCUGACAUUUACGACCAUAUAAUGCUUCAUAAGGUGCCAUCUUCAAACUCGUCUGAUAACUAUUAUUAUAAGCAAAUUCUACCAAUGGUAAGUACCUUUCCCAACUAUCUUGAAAUUCCAAUAAGCAACAUCUGAGCAUGUCUUCAAGAAUCUGAAUUACUCUCUCUGAUUUUCCAUCAGUUUGUGGAUGAAAGGCAGUGCUGAAAUUUAACUUUGUACCUAAUGCCUCUUGCAACUUUUGCCAAAACCGUGAGGUAAACCUCGGAUCUCUAUCCGAAAUGAUUGACAAAGGUAUCCCAUGAAGUCUAACAAUAUCUCGGAUAUACAAUUCAGCCAACUUAUUAAGAGAAUAAUCUGUACGUACCGGAAUAAAAUGAGCCGAUUUAGUCAGUUUGUCAACUAUUGCCCAGAUGGCAUUUUUCUUCCCUGGAGUUAACGACAACCCUGAUAUAAAAUCCAUAGUAAUCCUAUCCCAUUUCCAUUCAGGAACCAUAAUAGGCUGAAGUAAUCCCGAAGGUACCUGGUGUUCAGCUUUCACUUGUUGACAAACUAAGCACUUUGAUACAAACUCGGAAAUAUCUCUUUUCAUUCCACUCCACCAGUACAUUUUCUUUAAGUCAUUAUACAUCUUCGUACUACCCGGAUGAAUCGAGAAAUAACCACUAUGUGCUUCCUGUAGGAUCUUUUGAAUCAAUUCCUCAUUCUUCGGUACACAAAUCCGAUAUUUAAACAUUAAGCACCCAUCAGAACCAAUUUUGAAAUCUGACUCUGUAUCAACUUCACACUGUUUUCUCUUGGCUUGCAAAUCUUGAUCAUCUUUCUGAGCUUCAGAAAUCUCUUGCAAAAACAUUGGUUUUGCUCUUAACUCUGCUAGAAUCGAACCAUCAUCUGACACUUUCAACUGAGUGUUCAUAACUCUCAAAGCAAACAACAACUUUCUGCUCAAAGCAUCAGCAACCACAUUCGCUUUUCCCGGAUGAUAAUCAAUAACUAGCUCGUAAUCUUUCAAUAAUUCCAACCAUCUUCGCUGUCUUAAAUUCAAUUCUUUUUGUGACAUCAAGUAUUUAAGACUUUUGUGAUCGGUAUAUACUCGGCACUUUUCACCAUACAAAUAAUGUCGCCAAAUCUUCAAAGCAAACACCACUGCAGCCAAUUCCAAAUCGUGAGUAGGAUAACUCCUCUCAUGAGGUUUUAACUGCCUCGAAGCAUAUGCCACCACUUUUCCUUCUUGCAUGAGCACACACCCCAAACUAUUUAGAGAAGCAUCACUAUACACCACAAAUUCUUUACCUGAUUCGGGUUGUAUCAACAUUGGUGCUUCAGUUAAUAACUUUUUCAAUUCUUCGAAACUCUGUUGACAUUCUUCCGUCCAUUCAAAUUUAACAUCCUUUCGGAGUAGUCUAGUCAUAGGAGCAGCAAUUAUAGAAAAUCCAUUUACAAAACGCCGAUAAUACCCAGCUAGCCCCAAGAAACUUCUAACUUCGGUUACGUUUUUCGGUGGUUUCCAAUCAACAAUGGCUGAAAUUUUACUAGGAUCAACCCGUAUGCCAUCACCUGAAACAAUAUGACCCAAAAAUCCAACUUCCCGUAGCCAAAAUUCACUUUUACUAAACUUAGCAUACAGCUGCUUAUCUCUCAAAGUUUGCAAAACUAUCCUCAAAUGCUCAGCAUGCUCUGUCUCAUCUUUUGAAUAAAUUAAAAUAUCAUCUAUAAACACCACAACAAAUCUGUCCAAGUAUGGCCGAAAUAGGCGAUUCAUUAAAUCCAUAAACACAGCAGGAGCAUUUGUCAACCCGAAUGGCAUAACUAAAAAUUCAUAAUGACCGUACCUUGUUCUAAAAGCAGUUUUAGGCACAUCCGACUCUUUUACCCGCAGUUGGUAAUACCCAUAUCUUAAGUCAAUCUUUGAAAACCAUGUCGCUCCUUUUAGCUGAUCAAACAAAUCAUCAAUUCUUGGCAAUGGAUACUUGUUUUUGAUUUUCACCUUGUUUAACUGCCGAUAAUCAAUACAUAAUCUCAUAGAACCAUCCUUCUUUUUCACAAAUAACACGGGAGCACCCCAAGGUGAAAAACUUGGUCUCACAAAGCCUUUAUCAGUCAACUAUUGCAACUGCGACUUUAAUUCUUUCAACUCUGUUGGUGCCAUUCUAUAUGGAGCAAUCGAGAUCGGAGCUGUUCCCGGUAUCAAAUCUAUACCAAAUUCUACUUCCCUGAUUGGAGGCAAACUCGGCAAUUCUUCUGGAAAUACGUCCGCAAAUUCACACACAACCAGCACUAAUUCAACUUUCUUUUCAACUUCUUUUGUAUUAAUUACAUACGCCAAAUAAACUUCAUAACCCUUUCUCAGAUAUCUUUGAGCCGACAUUGAAGAAAUCACACUAGGCAAUGCCUCUGAUUUAUCUGAUUCAACCCUCAGAGUUUCACCAUUUCCACACUUUAAUUCUAUAAUCUUUUCUUUGCAGUUUAUUUUAGCAUCAUGCAAUGUCAACCAAUCCAUACCCAAAAUAACAUCAAACUCAUCAAACGGCAACAACAUCAAGUCGGCCGGAAAGUAAUGAUCCCGAAUCAUUAAAGGGCAUUUCUUGCAUACUUUAUCAACUAUCAUGCAUUUGCCUAACGGGUUCGACACUCUAAUCAUAAAUUCUGUGUUCUCAACAGGUAUAUUCAUACUAGACACCAGUUUCAUGCAUACAUAUGAAUGAGUAGAACUGGGAUCAAUCAAAGCAAUAACAUUAACAUUAUAGAGGGAAAAUGUACCGGUAAUCACAUCGGGUAAGGAAGCAUCUUCACGCGCUUUAAUAGCAUAGGUUCUAGCCAGAGCUCUUCCUUCAGAUCUAACUGCUGCAUCUCUGGCUUCAUUCUUACUGCUUGCUUCGCUCCCAGCUUUUCUUGGAUAUCUUUCCCUCAAAUCUACACCACUAGCUUUUACAUUCUGAAAUUUUUCUUUCUUAGCUCUCUCUGGGCAGUCUCUAAUAAAAUGAUCCGAAGAACCACAUCGAAAACAUUCAUUUGCUCUACACGGACCAAAAUGAUUUCUACCACACCGCUGGCACUCAGUUUAACAAAUCUCGUAUUUCCCACACUAGCCGCAGAAGUAGUCUGAGAUUUAGGACCCACAUUUCGCUUCUUAAAAUUUCCAUAUGAUUGCCCAGCUGAAACUUGGGAACAAGGAUUCAUAUUCCUUGACUUUCCAGGUUGCUGUGAAAAUAAACCGCUCAUCGGUCUUUUCUUCCAAUUUCUAGUCUCAGCCUCUACCUUUUUCUUUUCUUUAAGUAAUUCUUCGGCCUUACAAGCUCGAUCAACCAAUACUACCAUUUCUUUUAAUUCAAGAAUUCCAACAAAUACCUUGAUGUCUUCGUUGAUCCCGUCUUCAAAUCGUCGGCACAUCAUGGCCUCUGUAGGAACAUACUCUCUGGCAUACUUACUUAAUCGAACAAACUCUCUUUCAUAUUCUGUAACCAUCAUAUUACCUUGCUUCAGCUCAAGAAAUUCUUUACGCUUCUGAUCAAUAAAUCUUUCACUAAUAUAUUUCUUCCGAAACUCUUCUUGAAAGAAUUUCCAAGUUAUUUUCUCUUUCGGUACCACCGAAAUCAAAGUCUUCCACCAAUUAUAAGCUGAAUCCCUCAACAAAGAUAUAGCACAUUUCAAACAUUCUUCAGGUGUACAAGAUAAUUCGUCAAAUACCCGAAUUGAAUUUUCAAGCCAGAACUCUGCUCUCUCGGCAUCAUCAUCAAUAUUUGCUUUAAAUUCUUCAGCCCCUUGUGUACGAAUUCUAUCAACGGGGGUUCUGUGAAAUUUUAUCAUAUCCACUCCUUGAGGCAUUGGAGGCAUAGGUUGAGGAAUUGGGGGAGGUGGGGGAGGUCGUACAUUUGGGUUCGUACGAACGAACUCAGUGUACCAUGCACUCAUCAUUUGGAGAAAGGCUUCCCGAUCCCUUUCUCCUCCUCCCUGACCAACAGUAAGAGGUGGGUUUUCAGUCGGCGCUGCCCCUUCAGUCGGAGCUGGCGCAUUACUCUCUACUUCAUCUGCCACAGCUGGAUCGGGAUCCAUUUACUAUAUAAAAAUUCAUUUAAAAAGGUCAGAAGUCGUCACACUAUCACAAUUCAUACAUAUGGCAUGAAUAGCAAAAUCCGUACAUAUAACACGUAGUCCGAGAACCGACUAAACCUGCUCUGAUACCACUAAAUGUAACGCCCCCACGCCCGAGACCAUCACCGGAGUCGAGUAUGAGGUGUUACUAAGCUUAAUUUAACAUUUUAGAACUUUGGAUUAUUUGUUUCUACAUUCACAGCUUUUAAGCUACUUGCGUCACAGUCACAAGAAAAAUCAUAUAUCGAGUUACGAAACUCGAAAUUAAGAUCCGUAAAUUUUUCGUGAAUCUAGACUCAUAUACCUAUCUAUUAAUUUUUUUAUAAAAUUUUUGGUGAGGCCAAUUAGUACAGUUUAUUAGUUAAAGUUACCCCUGUUUCAGGACUUGACUGGUCUGACCUCUGUUUACAACGAACCACAUUUCUCUCUGUACAAAAUUCAUAUGACUAUGAGGUUUGUUUCUCCUAAAACUAGACUCAAUAAGGAUUCUUAGGAUAUAAAAUAAACCACCUAAUUAUAUCUUCACAAUUUAUGGUGAAUUUCUAAAGUAAGAACAGGGGAUUCAGAAACUGCUAUGACCCUGUUUCACUAAAAUUCAAAUAUCUUCUAACAUAUAAUUCCUUUACCUGUUUCAUUUGUUUCAUGUGAAACUAGACAUAAUAAGAUUCAAUUUGAUAUGUAGUCCAUCACAAAAUUAAAUUUCUAUGAUUUUUAGUAAAUUUUCAAACUCACGUCAGUGUUGCUGCAGUAUUCUGUUUAUGGCAAAUUUCAUCCCUCUUAUGAGUUUUUAUGCACUAAGUAUCUUAAUAAUUUUCCUUAUCAUCAAACAUAAUCUAAACUUACCAUUUUCAUAAUUUAUCAUUAUCAAAUAUUUUCUCAACCAUUCUGUCACCAUAUCAUAAAAUCAUUUACACAAAAUAAGUAUAUUGCUAUACAUGCCAUACUUAAAUUUACAAGCCAUUUACCAAAAAUCUUCCGGAUAGUGUGACUGAGCCUUCGACCUAUCCCGACUCCUGAACUGGCUUGUCCAAAACUACAAUGAGUAAGAAGGAGGGAGUAAGCAUAAAUGCUUAGUAAGUUCAUAUGUAAAUAAUAAAUAACAUAACAAACAAUCAAACUAAUCAACAUUAGCAUAUAUCAUCAACACACUUAUCACAUUUUUUAAUCAUUUUUCAUCAUCUUAUUACCUUAUCGUGGUUGUAAUCAACACUCAACCCGAGGGUUAAAUACAUACCUGUCCAAAAUAUCCAUUUCUCAUCACUUACCAAUACGUCUCUUUUCAUCUCGAGUAUUCCUCCAUUUGAGUAAAACUUUACCCGUUGAACACAUCGGAAUAUAAUUCGGAUACAUGGAUAAUUUGCAUAUAAGUGCCACAUAUUCAAUCAAGCAAUCAUGUAACCCGCCCAUAAGCGAACUCGGACUCAACUCAACGAGCUCGGGCGUUCGCAUCCAUAAGUGAACUCAGACUCAACUCAACGAGUUCGGAUGCCUAGUUACAUCUCACGAACUCGGACUCAACUCAACGAGUUCGAACAUUCGCAUCCAUAAGUGAACUCGGACUCAACUCAACGAGUUCGGAUGCUCAACCAUCCUAGUGACAUGUCACUUGUAUCCUAAUCUAUUCCUAAGGUUCAAACGGGCUUUUUUCCUCGAACACUUAUCCUUGCUGUCUUCCGUAGAAUGCCAAAAUCAAUACUCAGUAACAAUUAUAUUUAACAAGUAGCUCACAUAAUUUACAUAUUAUUUGAAAUUAACCACAAAGCAUACAUUUCAUAAUAAAAUUCAGCAUAACAUAUAAUUAACAUCAAUAACUUAAAAAUAACCAUUAUGCUACAUUAUUUACACAUGAACUUACCUUGGUACCAAAAUAUAAAGAUUUUGCAAUUUAGUCCACAAUCUUUUCUUUUCCUCGAUCGCAACUUGAAUCUCGUUUCUCUUGAUCUAUAAUGCCAAAUUAAUCUUAUUUAAUACAUACAUUCAUCAAAACAGCAGUUAAUACGAACUUUGGAAAAAUUACACUUUUGCCCCUAAACAUUUGCAUAAUUACACUUUUGCCCCUAGGCUCAGAAAUUAAACUUUAUUCCUUAUUCUUAUGUUUUAUAACAUGCUGAUCACUUUUCCCUUCUAUGGCAACAUCAAAUUCUCUCUCUAACAUAUACUUGUGACUAUUAGGUAUUUUUGCCGAUUAAGCCCUUUUACUCGUUUUCACUCAAAACCGAGUAGCACAAGUUGUCUAACAUAAUUUAAAACCUCAUAUUCUAUCAUAAAACAUCAAAAUACACAAAUUUCACCUAUGGGUAUUUUUCCAAAUAUAAACCCUAGGUUGAAUUAUUGCUAACAUAAGCUUAAUCGAGCUACCGGGAUCUCAAAAACGUAAAAAUUAUUAAAAUCGGGGCUUAGAAUCACUUACUAUCGAGCUUGGAAGCUUGAAACAAACCCUAGCUAUGGAGAACCCUUGAAAUUUCGGCCUAAUGAAGAAGAUGGACAAAAAUUGGCUUUUAAUUUUAUUUUUAAUUCAUUUUAAUAACUAAAUGACCAAAAUACCCUUACUACUAAACUUUCCAAAAUUUCCUUCCAUGUCCUAAAUUUGUCCAUGAACUUAAAAUUGGUCAAAUUUCUAUUUAAGACCUCCUCAUUAAUAUUCCAAAACAAUUUCAUACUAAAAACUUCUAGAAUGCAAGUUUUGCAACUUAUUCGAUUUAGUCCCUACUUUCAAUUUAAGCACUUUAGGCAUAGAAUUUCAUCACGAAAUUUUCACACAAUCAUGCAAUCAUAUCAUAAUCAUCGAAAUAAUUAUAAAAUAAUUAUUUCUAUCUCAGAUUUAUGGUCACGAAACCACUAUUCCGAUUAAGCCCUAAUUCAGGAUAUUACAAUGGCAACAUGAUAUGAAAUGUGUAAGACCAUGGUUGAAAGAUACCAUGGCAACAUGACGGGAAUGAAUAAGACCAUGGUUGAAAAAUACCAUGGCAAUGUAACAUGAAAUGAACAAGACAAUGGUUGACAGAUACCAUGGCAACCUGAUAGAAAAUGAGUAAGACCAUAGUUGAAAGACACUAUGGCAUCAUGUCAAAGAUAAAUAAGACCGUGGAUGGGAGACGCGAUGACAUCUAUUGAACAAUUGAUAUUCAGGUAAUAUGUAUCAGAUGACGAAUGGUUAUAUGAAAUGGUUGUGUGAAAUGUUUACAAGAACUGGUCAUAUGGAAAUGUAUGUACAAAAUAGUUGUAUGAAAUAAUUAUGAAGAUAGAUAAACGAAAUAAGAAUAAGUACAUGGAAUAUAAUUUAUGUUAAGUUUGAUAUAAACUUUACCGGAACAAAUAUACAUAAAAUAAAUGGAAAUGAUGGAGCAUGAAAUAUUGAUAUAAUGAAAUAAUUGAUAUAUACUUAUGAAGAAACGGUAAGAGAAUGAUAUGUUUCAUGACAUGUACAUAUAUGAUUAUCUUUGAUAUGUAGAUACAAGGAAAUUAUGUAAGUAAAGACAAUUAUUAAACUCAAGCGUGACAUGUCAAGAAAAUAAGUAUAUCAAUGUUGAAUUUAUAUGAAAUAUGUGCAAGUAUACUAACAAUGAUGUUGUUUGACGCUUAGACAAGUGUCAAGCUAUUGAUUGAAUGAUAACAUGUUUAAUUAUAAGAAGCAUUGAAAUGGUAAAUACUUAGAUGAAAAUAUUUAAGAUUUUGCGAAAUUUUUUUAUGAUCCCGAUUUAAUUCCGGUUGGUUUUUAAUGUAUGUUUGGGGCUUCAAGGACCCAAUAGAGAGACGUUAUGAUUAUUUUCAAAAUAUGAAUAAUAAAUGACUCAGAAUUAUCUGAAAAUGUUCAAUAAACUCCGGUAAUGCCUCGUACCUAUUCUGGCAAUGGAUACGGGUAGGCGGUGUUACACGGCCUGUUCCCACGGCCGUGUGUGCAAGUCAGAUCUGUCUACGGCCUGUGCCCACGGCCAUGUCCUAAGCAACACGGGCAUGUCCUAGGCCACACGGGUGUGUGCUCCUAUCUUCAAGGAAAAAUUUCUAAAGUUGCCAGUUUAGUCCCGAAUCACUUCUAAAACUUAUAUUGGGCCCAGUAGGCCCAUAUUAGGGACUUUAUGAUGAAGUUUGAUGAAUAUUGAUCUGGAAUGUAGAGUUUAUGACUCGAUUUUGUAUAAAUGUUAGUGUAUAAGUCCGAUAAUACCUCGUAGCCCUAUUCCGGUGACGACUUGGGGUUAGGGGGUGUUACAAAUGCCUAAAUAGCCUGCUAAAAGUCGAGCUUCAGAUCCAAUAGGCUGACCAGGACUAUUUCUACUUACUUUGACACGCUCGACAAGAUUUAAGUCAUAUAAAUCUUUAAGUAGCGUAUGUCCUCGACCUCUGCGCAUCCCACCACUUUCAGCUGAAAAAUGAUAUAUUAUUAUUAUAUUAAAAUUGAAAAAUAAAUCAAUAAUAAAAGUCAACGCACGUGUAAAAUAAACUUAACAUUACUUUGAAAUUCUGCAGGCUCGUCAAGUGUCUCUGGCACAUUCGAAGAUCCAAUAACUGUCUGCUAUUCACUAUUUGCUUCUUCUGAAUUUGGAGUAUUCUGGACAAUACUUAAAUCUUGUAAUCUUCUUCUACGCAUUUUUCCUGCAAUACACAUAAAAUAGUUGAAAUUUAGUAACAAAUUACAAUAAUAAUAGUACAUAUAAAAUAGUUAAAUUAUAUAACAUGACCGCGAUUAAAAUUAUAAUAUUACAUAUAAUUAAAAAAUCGUAAAAUCUUACUACAUCAUAAUUCGUAAAUAUCUUCAUCCACAUCCUGACGAACCCAUUGUAACAACCCGAACUUUAAGGUUAUAGGAAAAGUGUAUUUUCGGGUCUCUGUUUCUGAAAAAUGGAUUAGAAAAUAUUUAUUAACAAUAAUUACGAAGUUAAGUGAGUGAUUAAUUAAAGUUUAUUUAAGUAAAUUUAGCUUAAUUAAGGAUAAUUGGAUAAAAGAUUAAAUUGAAUAUAAUGUGAAAGUUUAGUUUUAAAGUAAUAGAAAAUAAAAAGGAUCAAAAUGGCAAUUAAGCCAUACCCAUGAAAUGAGGCGGUAAGUGGAAGAAAAAUCAAGAUUUUUCUUGAAUUAUGUAUUUUAUUAAAUUAUUAAUUAUGUAUAUAUAUAAAAGAAAAGAAAAAAAAGUGUAUAAAAAUGAUUGGUACAAGUAUUAAAUAAAUAUUUGUUAUUAAAUAGAUUUUUAUUAUUGUCAUUAUAUAUAUAAAAGAAACAAAAGAAAGAAUCAAAAGAAAAAAAGAGAGGAAAGAAACAUAAUAGCAGGGGACGAAACAGAGAAGGGAGAAAGGAAGAAAAGAAAAAAAGGGAAAAAUAAGGUUUUAAAGGUUCCAAGUUAAUUUGCUAGAGUUGUCUCGGGAAAUCUCGGUUAAGCAAGGAAAAAUGGCAAAGACAAUGGGAGUUAGCUCGAGAAAAUACGGUUUAUAUUUCUAUAAUUCGAACUUAGUCAUUAUUUGUUAUAUUUAUAUAUAUAUGGCAAUUGUUAGUGCUAGAAUUAUGAUGUUUUACAAUUGAAAUGGAUUGAUUUUAGUAUGUGAUGAAUUUAUUGAAUUUAUAUUGAUUGAAUUAUAUAAUAUAUAUGAUUUAUGUAAAAAUUUGGAUAUUGAAUGAAUGUUAUAUUGAAAAAUAUAUUGAUUGGAAAUAUGAGGAAAUUGAUAUGAAUAUAUGAUAUUUGUGAUAUUUGAAUAUUUGAUAUUGAAAAGUGAACUGAAUUUUAUUGAAUUACGAAUUAAUGUGAAUAAUUGAAAUAUAUUUGUUGAAUUGAAUGAAAAUGUAUGAAAUUGUGAAAAUGUGUGAAUAUAUGUGAUUAUCAGAAUGGUAUAUUGAUGAAAGAAUUAUUAAAUUGAGAAAGUGAAUGAAAUACCCUAUUAACUAGUCGGGCUGAGUCGGAUAUAAUUAGCAUGCCAUAAGAUCUGGAAGUGUACGGGAUUUGCCGGCUUUACCGAUCAGGCACUUUAUGUGUCGUAUUUUAGGCACCUCGUGUGUCGUAUCAGGCACCUCGUCUGUCGUUUUAGGCACUUUAUGUGUCGUAUACUGAUCAGGUACACUUUAUGUGUCGUAUACUGAUCAGGUACCGUUUUAGGCACAAUGUGCCGUACUGGUGUGUUUGGGUUGGAAUCUGUGUAUCCGUCGAAGUCCGGGUUUUGUUAAUAGGGGUAAAUAAGUGAAAAGAUAAAUCGAAUGAAUUUGAUUGAUUGAGCUAUUGGAAUGAAAUGAGAAAUUGAACUGAGAAUUGAAAUUUAGAUAUGAGAUUGAAAAUAUGAACCAAAGGUUCAUGAAAUGAUUGGAGUUCGAAUUGAUGAAAUAUGAUGCCACUUGAUGAAUUGAAAUAUGAUUUGAGAUAUAUGAAUCAUAUGUAUAUAGUGAAAGCUAUUAGAGAUAGUAAGUUGAUAUGAUAUAAAUGAAAUUGACUGUUAUUGAAAUGAAUUAAAAUGGAAUAUGAUUGAUAAGGGCAUAGUUUAAUAUAGUUUAUUGAUAUUGAAUUGUGAAUAAAUUAAGUAAAGCUAUACCGAAUAGUAAGUGAAAGAAUGGAGUAAUUGAUAACGGAUUUAUUUAAGAAUUGAACAAUUAAGUUAUUGUGUUUAUUAUAUGAUUUGUAUAAAGUUUAUAUGGUAGAAAUUUAUCUAUGAAAUAAAUAAUUGAAUAAUUGUAAUUGUUAUUAUGAUCUUAAGUAUUUGUUAUUGUAACGUCCCCCUCCCCGAGACUGUUGCCGGAGUCAAGCAGGAGACAUUACAAAACUUAUCUUAGCACUUAAACAGUUUUCGUAGUAAACUAUCCAUCUGCAUCACGGUCGCUAUAAAAAUCAUAUCUCGAGUUACGAAACUCAAAAUCCAAUUCCGUAAAUUUUUCCUGAAACUAGACUCACAUAUCUACUUACUAAUUUUAUUCUAGAAUUUUUGGUCAGGCCAAUUAGUACAGUUUAUUAGAAAAAGUCUCCCCUGUUUCAGGGUUCGGCUACUCUAACCCUUGUGCAAUACAAAUCAAAUUUAUUCCUGUACAUAAAUCCAAUGACUAUUCCAUUUAUUUCAAUUAAAAAUAGACUCAAUAAGGAAUCCAUACAUAUAAAUUUUGAGUCCUAAUUCUUAAUACACAAUUUAUGGUGAAUUUCUAAAGUGAAAACAGGGAAUCCAGAAAUUGCUCUAACCCUGUUUCACCAAAACGUAAAUAUCUCAUAAAAUACAACUCUUUUACCUAUUUUGUUUCUUCCAUAUAAAAAUAGAUUCAUUAAGCUUAAAUUAAAUAUUUUAUUCAUCAUCUAAUUCACUUUAUACUAUUUUUGGUAUAUUUUUAAAGUUGGACUACUGUUACUGUCCUCAAAUCUGUUUUAGUAUAAAAUGUUGAUAACUAAGUUUAUAACAUCUUCAUUUCUUCUCUCUACAAUAUUUACCAACACUUCCUCUUAUUACUCUUCACUAACAUAUCAAAACAUAUCAUACUUAAGGUUUUGGUAACAUUUACAAAACAUACCAAAAUAUCACUUAACAACUUAGAUACUUUCAAAAUGACCAAAAGACAUCCUAGGUACAAUGCCAUUUUCCAAAAAGAUAGAAACUUCACCAAUAUGAGUUCGGGGAUCGGCUUGUAUGCUGAGUCCUUAUACUUUCGUACCUAGACUGCGCACGGAAACAAACUGUACACUGAGAAUACUCUCAGUGGUAUUUCUAUAAACAAUAGCUUAAUCAACUUUAAAACAUGGUAAUUCAAACACAUUAUUGCUAUUAUUCAAUAUCAAUCAGUACUUUAAUAAUCUUUACUUUAUUUACCCUUAUUAACAUAACUCGGACACUAACGGAUACACGGAUCCAACCCACACUCCGGGAUAAGCACAUAGUGCUUCAUCGGAACAAAUCUGGAACUUUAACAUUAUAGUACACAAAGUACUUCAUCGGAACAAAUCCGGAACUUUAACAGUAGUCGCCACAUAGUGUCUCAUCGACUCAAUGUCGGAAUAUCCCAAUACUUCCAAUUCCUAUGACAUGUCAACUAUAUCCGACUAGCCCGACACUGUUAGUAGGGUAUUCAAAAUCACAUUCAUUUCAAUAUGGUAAAAAUACUUACCUCAUUCACAUUUUCAGACAAUAUAAAUAUCAAAUAUAGCAAUAACGAUUAAGCUCGGUUUAUAGAAAUACAAACCACUAUUUAUCGAAUUUAAUCGAUAUCUUCGUUCACUUUCUCUUUUCCCUUCUUUGAUGACAUAUCCGAUGCUACGUUUGCUACUAACAAUCAUACAAUUAAAAAUCAUCAAUAUACUAAUUCAUAAAACACAUUUUCACUUUCUAUCAAACUUUUACAAAAAUUCCAAUUUCGUCCUUUUUCCAUUACUAAUCUUUUUUCUUUAACUUAAGCUUCAUAUUCUCUUUUAAUCAACUCAUUAACAAUUUCUAACUCAUAAAAUUCAUUAUAAAACAUAAAUUUUGAGCUCUAUUCAACUUAAUCCCUAUUUAAACCUAACUUAGAAUUCUUUUAAUAAAUCACUCAAUUUUCACUUUUAACUUCAAUUUCUAUCAAUUUAACCCAUAAAACCUCAAUUUAUUCAACUAAAUCAAUAUCUAAAAAUUUUCUAUUUUUCUUCAUUUUAACCUCAUACAUGUAGAACUUUGAAUUAGGCAUCCAUAAACAUAAAAAUUAUAAGAAAAUAAGCUAAAACAUCUUACCAAUCAAGCUUUAGGGCCUUAAUCCUCAAAUUUCCCUUUUCUAUUUCUUUCCUUCUUUCUUUCUUUCUUUCUCACGUUUGCUCUCUGUAACUCUUUCUAUCUUUCUAUCUUUCUUUCUUUCUUUCUUUUUUUUUAACUUACUCAUAAAUCUAUAUUCAAUAUAAUAAUAUUAAUAAUAUAAUAUUAUUCUAAUAAAAUAACUUAAUCUAUAAGAAAAACUACUUUAACACAUUUAAUAUAUUUACCAACUAUUACACACGUUAUAUCAUACAUUCACACACAUGGCACUUAGGGUCUAAUUGCUAGAUUAGUCCCUUUACUAAUCUUUAAUCUAUAAUUAAACUUUUAUACCGUAUGCAAUUUAGUCCUUUAAACUAAAUUUAAGCUACUUCACUUAAUUAAACACUAAAUAACCAUUCAACUAUAGUUCAUAAAUAUUUCUAAUAAAUAUUCAUGAAUUAAUUUCACGAAAACAGUACUCAAGACUCAAUUUCUGAUACCGUAACUUUCGGUUCAUUACAGUUAUAUUAUUAAAUAUUUGAAUUAUAGAAAUAUGACUGAGUAUACCUAUACUCAGCGUACGGUUUGUUACCUAUACUCAGCGUAUGGUUUGUUUCCGUGCGCAGGUUAAGUAAAGAUAGAACGUUGAAUCAGCAUCCCAGGCCGAUCCCGAAUUCAAUGAGGUAAAAUGUGUCAAUUAUGGGUGAUGGCAUGUACCUAGGGUGUCUUAUGUGUGUGUCAUUAUUAAAUUGUAAAUGUAAGGAUGAAAUAAAUAAAUUUAGGUUGGUUAUGAUAUAAAAUAGGAUUUGACUAAUUUGGUAUGAACUUGAAUUUUUGUUAGACAAUGUCAGAUUGAUUUCUAAAUUUUCCUAUUCUGAAUUGGGAAAAUUAUUAAAAAUUAUAUAUAAAUAAUUAUGGGCUAUAGUUUAUAUGCUUAGAAUCUUUAAUGAGUCUAUUUUCAAAAGAAAUAAACGGAAACAUCAUUUGAGUCCUGUGUUAUGAGAUAAUUAAAUUUUAGUAAAGAAAGAUUGAAGCUGUCAAACAGCAGACCAGGGGUAAUUUUGAGGAAUAAACUGUACUAAUUGGCUAAACCAAAAAAUUCUAAAAAUUUUAUAGUAGAAAGGUAUAUGAGUCUAGUUUCAAGGAAAAUUAACAGAACUUAAUUUAGAGUUUUUUAGCUUCAGAUAUAAAUAUUUUAGUGACUAUUUCUCAAGAAGACAGCUUUGACAUGAACCUAAAAAAAAUAAUGGAAUUGUGUGUAAUUAUUCUGUAAACUCUGGUAAUGCUCCAUAACCCUCUUUCGGUGACAGUUUGGGGUUAGGGGGUGUUACACCCAUUGAAAUUGUGUACUAGUAUCAUGGAUAUUUUCAUUUAAGUUUUGUUAUGGAAAAGACAAAGUUUCUGAUCUUUCGACGAUGUCAUCUCUACUUCCAUUGCCUAUGUCAAACAAGUCUCUAGAGGUGUUUCGGAGUACAACGUACCAACCCUCAUCAGUUGGAUCUUUCGAGUAAAAAACUUGUUUCACUUGAGAAGAAAAUACAUACGGCUCGUCUAUUAAUUGUUCUCCAGUGUGAAUCAAUCGAGAAAAAUUCACCAUUGUAAAACCAAAUUGAUCGUUUUUAAUUCUGCGAGCAGUAUUAACAUCAACCCAAUCACAUCGAAAAAAGACAACUUUCCAUUUUCCAUUGUAAACCAACUCAAUAAUAUCAGUAAGAAGUCUGUAAUACUCCACAUUUCCCUCAACGGGAUUACUGUCCCUAGCACUAGCAUAACUUGUAAUUGAAGAAUUAACAACAAUUCCACAAUUUUGAGUUCUCCUCAAUCUCUCGCGAUAAUUUGUAUGAAAUCUGAAUCCAUUGAUGAUGAAGGCACUAUAUCUUUUUAGUACUCUAUUCGGGCCUUGGGAAAGCCAUUCAACUUCGUCAUUAACGUCCUUCCCACUCCAAAUCUAUUGAAUCGAAAGUAAAUUGAAUAAUUAUAAAUGUUAUGAGAAAACAUUAUUAUUUUUCAAUAAAAUGUUGAGUUGCAUACCGUUUGGCUUAACCAUUCAUGAAAAGAUUCUGUGAAUAACUUAUUAAUCUCUCAUUAUUGUAAUCUUCGGGAGCAUGAACGAGAUCUCAAGAUUUGUUUGUACUCACUAUGUUAAAAAGAGGUUUAACUGGUUAGAAAAUAAACAAAUCAAAAAGAUGAAUAUUUAUCAUAUUAUAGAACUUACUUGCAUAAUGGUUCAACUGAAUCAUGGUGAAAAAGAACAUAUCUAUGUGCUUGGACCCAAGAUCUUUCAUCUAAUUCUGCAAUUUCAACUUUACCGAUUGGUUCUCCACAACUUUGAAAUAGAUAAGUUUCGGCCAAGUUGGGAUCAUUGAGCCCAGCAUUUCUACUUGGUCUAUUCAAUCUUGUUUCAACAUCUUCUAAAUAUCUAGAACAGAAGGUCAUACACUCCUCUGCCAAGUAGCCUUCAGCAAUUUAUCCUUCUGGAUAACGCUUAUUUUGACAAUAAGACUUCAAUUUGCUUAGGAACCUAAACGCGAUAUACAACAUUAUCAAAAGUUGUAACUAAAUGUAUAGAGGUGAAUGAACGAAUACUUUACAAAUAAAUUAGCACCUUUCUAUAAGAUACAUCCAUCGAUAGAAAAUCGAUCCACCAAUUAUUGCUUCACGAGGGAGAUAAAUUACCAAGUGCACCAUAAUAGUGAAGAAGGAAGGUGGAAAGAUUUCUCCAAAUUGCAUAAAGUCAAAGUGGCUCGAUCCUGUACUUUCUCAAGUUCUUCAAAAUCCAAAACUUUGCCACAAAUAGCUUUCAUUAUAUUGGAAAGUUCAAUUAUACAGGAUGUCACCUUUUACCGUAAAGAAAGUGGCAGUAAAUCUUGCAUCAAGAUGUGAUAAUCAUGUGAUUUUAAAGAAUAUAGUCUUCUAUCUUUAAGACUCACACACCAAGAUAUAUUUGAUGCACAUGCAUCUGAGACCUUUAUAUCUGUAAUGAACCGAAAGUUACGGUAUCGGAAAUUGAGUCUUGAGUACUGUUUCCGUGAAAUUAAUUCAUGAAUAUUUAUUAGAAAUAUUUAUGAAUUAUAGUUGAAUGGUUAUUUAGUGUUUAAUUAAGUGAAGUAGCUUGAAUUUAGUUUAAAGGACUAAAUUGCAUACGGUAAAAAAGUUUAAUUAUAGAUUAAAGAUUAGUAAAGGGACUAAUCUAGCAAUUAGACCCUAAGUGCCAUGUGUGUGAAUGUAUGAUAUAACAUGUGUAAUAGUUGGUAAAGAUAUUAAAUGUGUUAAAGUAGUUUUUCUUAUAGAUUAAGUUAUUUUAUUAGAAUAAUAUUAUAUUAUUAAUAUUAUUAUAUUGAAUAUAGAUUUAUGAGUAAGUUAAAAAAAAGAAAGAAAGAUAGAAAGAGUUACAGAGAGCAAACGUGAGAAAGAAAGAAAGAAAGAAAGAAAGAAAGAAAGAAAUAGAAAAGGGAAAUUUGAGGAUUAAGGCCCUAAAGCUUGAUUGGUAAGAUGUUUUAGCUUAUUUUCUUAUAAUUUUUAUGUUUAUGGAUGCCUAAUUCAAAGUUCUACAUGUAUGAGGUUAAAAUGAAGAAAAAUAGAAAAUUUUUUAGAUAUUUAUUUAGUUGAAUAAAUUGAGGUUUUAUGGGUUAAAUUGAUAGAAAUUGAAGUUAGAAGUGAAAAUUGAGUGAUUUAUUAAAAGAAUUCUAAGUUAGGUUUAAAUAGGGAUUAAGUUGAAUAGAGCUCAAAAUUUAUGUUUUAUAAUGAAUUUUAUGAGUUAGAAAUUGUUAAAGAGUUGAUUAAAAGAGAAUAUGAAGCUUAAGUUAAAGAAAAAAGAUUAGUAAUGGAAAAAGGACGAAAUUGGAAUUUUUGUAAAAGUUUGAUAGAAAGUGAAAAUGUGUUUUAUGAAUUAGUAUAUUGAUGAUUUUUAAUUGUAUGAUUGUUAGUAGCAAAUGUAGCACCGGAUACGUCAUCAAAGAAGGGAAAAGAGAAAGUGAACGAAGAUAUCGAUUAAAUUCGAUAAAUAGUGGUUUGUAUUUCUAUAAAUCGAGCUUAAUCGUUAUUGCUAUGUUUGAUAUUUAUAUUGUAUGAAAAUGUGAAUGAGGUAAGUAUUUUUACCAUAUUAAAAUGAAUGUGAUUUUGAAUACCCUAUUAACAGUGUCGGGCUAGUCGGAUAUAGUUGACAUGUCAUAGGAAUUGGAAGUAUUGGGAUAUUCCGACAUUGAGUUGAUAAGACACUAUGUGUCGACUACUGUUAAAGUUCCGGAUUUGUUCCGAUGAAGCACUAUGUGCUUAUCCCGGAGUGUGGGUUGGAUCCGUGUAUCCGUUAGUGUCCGAGUUAUGUUAAUAAGGGUAAAUAAAGUAAAGAUUAUUAAAGUACUGAUUGAUAUUGAAUAAUAGCAAUAAUGUGUUUGAAUUACCAUGUUGUAAAGUUGAUUAAGCUAUUGCUUAUAGAAAUACCACUGAGAGUAUUCUCAGUGUACGGUUUGUUUCCGUGAGCAGGCUAGGUACGAAAGUAUAAGGACUCAGCAUACAAGCCGAUCCCCGAACUCAAAUUGGUGAAGUUUCUAUCUUUUUGGAAAAUGGCAUUGUACCUAGGAUGUCUUUUGGUCAUUUUGAAAGUAUCUAAGUUGUUAAGUGAUAUUUUGGUAUGUUUUGUAAAUGUUACCAAAACCUUAAGUAUGGUAUGUUUUGAUAUGUUAGUGAAGAGUAAUAAGAGGAAGUGUUGGUAAAUAUUGUAGAGAGAAGAAAUGAAGAUGUUAUAAACUUAGUUAUCAACAUUUUAUACUAAAACAGAUUUGGACAGUAACAGUAGUCCAACUUUGAAAAUAUACCAAAAAUAUUAUAAAGUGAAUUAGAUGAUGAAUAAAAUAUGUAAUUGAAGCUUAAUGAAUCUAUUUUUAUAUGGAAGAAACAAAAUAGGUAAAAGAGCUGUAUUUUAUGAGAUAUUUACGUUUUAGUGAAACAGGGUUAGAGCAAUUUCUGGAUUCUCUGUUUUCACUUUAGAAAUUCACCAUAAAUUGUGUAUUAAGAAUUAGGACUCAAACUUUAUAUGUAUGGAUUCCUUAUUGAGUUUAUUUUUAAUUGAAAUAAAUGGCAUAGUCAUUUUAUUCAUGUACAGGAAAAAAAUUUGAUUCGUAUUGCACAAGGGUCAGAGUAGCCGAACCCUGAAACAGGGGAGACUUUUUCUAAUAAACUGUACUAAUUGGCCUGACCAAAAAUUCUAGAAAAAAAAUAGUAAGUAGAUAUAUGAGUCUAGUUUCAGGAAAAAUUUACGGAAUUGGAUUUUGAGUUUCUUAACUCGAGAUAUUAUUUUUUUAGCGACCGUGACGCAGAUGGAUAGUUUACUACGAAAACUGUUUAAGUGCUAAGAUAAGUUUUGUAAUGUCUCCUGCUUGACUCCGGCAACGAUCUCGGGUAGGGGGACGUUACAAUAUCCUUCAAAACCGAGCAGAACACUUCUUUCUCUUCCUUCAACAUUGCAAAAAUUGAAGGCGGCAACCGAUAUUUCCCAUUCAAAAGUACUUGGGGAUGAAGAUCACGCCGAAUUCCCAUACUAAAUUAAGUCGACUCUAAAAAUUAUCUUUUGAUUUUCCAUCGAUAUUCAAAAUUGUCCCAAUGAUGUUCCCGCAAACAUUCUUCUCAAUCAAGAUUGUGUCGUAAAAUGUGAUGCGCCCAAUAAGCAACUAAAAAAAUACUUAUUUUUUUCCAUAAGUCCGCCUCAUUAGGAUCAUCCUCUUAAUCAAAUUCAUCAUCAGAUUCGUCCCUCGAUCUUCUCUUUGUUUGUAUGUUGGAUGGUUGAUUCAUCUUCCCAUAACUGAAAUCCAUAUCUUUUAACAUGAACAAGAUUUUAGAUCCAAUGGUCUGCUCAGGAGCUUCUCUAAACUCUUCAGUACCGUUAAAUAAAGUCCUCUGAAAUCUAAAGUUAUGAUUUCCAUCAAACCACCGACGAUGCCCCAUAUAAGAGAACUUCUUCCCAUUAUACAAGGACAAGCAUAACGUCCUUUGGUACUCCAACUAGAUAAAUUGGUAUAAGCCGGGAAAUCAUUAAUUGUCCACAACAAAGCUGCACGUAAAUUGAAGUUCUCCUUUCUCAAUACAUCAUAUGUCUCAACACCCAACCAUAACUAUUUUAACUCUUCAAUAAGUGGCUGCAAAUAAAUGUCGAUAUCAUUUCCAGGACCUCUCUCUCCAGGGAUAAUCAUAAAUAAUAUAAAAGAAGAUUGCUUCAUGUAAAUCCAUGGAGGCAAAUUGUAAGGAACAAUCACUACAGGCCAAGUACUGUACGAAGUACUCAUGAUUUUAAAAGGAUUAAAGUCAUCCGCUGCUAGCCCAAGCCUCACAUUUCGAGGAUCGCUUGCAAAGCUUGGAAAUUUACUAUCAAAUGAUUUUCAAGCUAAAGAAUCAGCAGGAUACCUUAAUAAUCCAUCAUCGGUUCGUUGAUCAUUAUGCCACCUCAUAGAAUCGGCUGUCUUUGACGACAUGAAAAGCCUUUAAAGUCUUGGUAUUAGAGGAAAAUAUCGCAAAACCUUGACUGUCUUCUUUCUUAACUGUGCCCCACUUUCAUCUGCAUUCACAUCUUCUAUAUUUCUAUUCAUCCAAUGAGACUUACCGCAAACAUGACAAGACUGUUGGUUUUUUUGAUCACCCCAGUACAACAUGCAGUCAUUUGGGCAACUAUGAAUUUUAUCGUACUCAAGGCUCAAAUCUUUUAUUAGUCUCUUCAUAUCUUGAUAAGACUGGGGGAUUUUUGCAAACGAAAACAUCACUCUCAGAAACUCUAGCAGCAUUGUAAAAGAGUUUUCGGUCCACCCUCCCAAACAUUUUAAAUGAAAUAGACGAAUGCAGAAGGACAAUUUCGAAUAUUUUGACUUCGUUCAUUUCAUUAAGUAAAUUGUAGAACUUCGCUACUUCUUCAUUUGGCUCCUCAUCAUGUGCGCUUGUUCCCGUUUCUCAAAAAACAUUUCCACCAAUAUUACAAUCAUCAGAUGCAAUAAAGUCUGGUGGAAAUGAUUGCUCACCAUGACUGUGCAUAUUAAAUGCAUCCCGCAACAUACCUUCCAUGUCAUCUUGUCUAACAUACUGAUGGUAAGCAAUAUCAAGAUAAGUCGGAUUAAUCAUUGAAGAAGUUCCACUAGAUAUACACUAUCCAUAGAAAAUCCAUUUUUUAUACACUCUCCAUAGAAAAUUCAUUUUUUAUACCCCCGAAUUAUGCCAUCAAUAAUUAGAUGUUCGUAGACAACUUCAAGAAAAUGUCAAUUGAUGUUGCCACACUUCUUACACGGGCAAAGAAUCAUAUUCUCUUGGCUUGCAUUUUGAAAUGCAAAAUUUAGAAAAGUUUGUACUCCAUUUCGAUAGGCGUUGCUUACCCUUGAUAAAUUCAUCCAACUCCUAUCCAUUUCGUAGUUCUUGAAAUCUAAAGUUGACAAUAUAUUACAGUUACUUAAAUGUUCUCAAUUGAUUUAAAUCAUGUCAUUGUACUAAAAUAGAUAAUACAUAUCAAGUAUCAAGUAUCUAAUGGGUGUAAACUAAUUCAGGUAAGUUGUGGGAUUUUCAAGUAUAUAUUUAUGUAUUAUGUAAGUUAAGUAAGUUCUCUAAGUUAUGUAAGAUAUGAUAUGAUAAAUAUUUAAGUAUUAUGUAAGUUAUGAUAUGAUAUAUAUUUAUGUAAGUUAUGUAAGUUAUGUAAGUUAUGGUAUGAUAUAUAUUUAUGUAUUAUGUAAGUUAUGAUAUUAUAUAUAUUUAACAUUAAGAUAAAUAUUAUUUCCCUUUAAACAAUUUAUUUUAAUUAAAUAAUAUUUAAAAACUUAUCUUGAGAUGAGAUUUGGAUAAUAUUGCAACUAAAGUAUAAACUAUUUUGUAAUGACGAACCUAAAUUGAAACUUUGUUUAACUAAUUACAUUGAACUUGCAAAUGAGGAAAUGGAUGAAACCCAACCUUAUUACAAGUUUUUUUUAGAAAAAAAGAAUAGUAAUUUGAUUUUUAUACUAAAAUAAAUUUAAAUAAUGAUCAAUAUUAUUAUAUUGAUAAAAAAUAUUUAUAAGUUUUAAAAAGAUUUAAAAAUAUUAAAUAUUAAAAUCAAACAUUAUUAAUAUAAAACAUUAAUCAAUAUGAUGUAUUACUUUGACAGUUCUGCUUAUUAUUAGAAAUAUAUACAAGGCAUGGGAUAUAAUUUGAUGAGUAACAAAAAGUAACUUUUCAUUUUAAAAAGCUUUUAAAUCAUUUUUUUUUUGGAAAAAAAAGAAUAGUAAUUUGAUUUUUAUAUUAAAUAAAUUUAAAUAAUGAUCAAUAUUAUUAUAUUGAUAAAAAAAUAUUUAUAAGUUUUAAAAACAUUAAAUAUUAAAAUCAAACAUUAUUAAUAGCAAAAAUUAAUUAGUAUUAAAUAUAUACUUUUAGUAAAGAAGAUAGUAUUUAAUCAUAUAAUAAAUUAAUAUUUUUUAGUCAAAAUAUUGAAAAAUUAUGUUAAUAUUUAAAUAGCAAAAUUACAUUCAAAUGGUGCAACUAAUUGAUUGCAAAAAAAAAAAACCCGCACAAGUUCAAAAUGUACAGUAAUAAACUUGAAAAUUUAUAAACUAAGAUGAACAUUUAUUAAGAGUUAUAUAAAUAAUUAUAAAAAAUUGUAUAUAAUUUUUCAACUGAUAAAGUAUAAUAUAAUUAUAACAUAAAAUUUUGAUACAACCAUAAUGGUUAACCAAUCAAUCACCAUUUUGUAAAAAAAUAGAAGAAACAUGUGCUUGAUAAGAUAAAGUAUAAUAUAAUUAUACUAUAUAAACACCAACUUCAGAAGUCUCACAUUUACGAUUUUGAUUGCAUUUUUGUAUGGUGUUCAAGUAUUGAAACAUGCAUUGCUAGAAGAGGCAAGCAUUGGAGGCAGAGCAGCUAUGCUACUACACUAUCUAAGAAGAAAGGAGAAAGUCAUGGUCAUCGCAAUUACCACAAUGGAGGACCCAAAGCCUUACCUAAGUCAAUGUGGAUUGAAGCUAAGCAAAUUGGAUGGCAGAAAAUUGGAGAAGCAGCAGAGGGAUGCCGACGGAGAUGUAGCAGAAGGCUGCCGACGACGAUGCGGAAGAUUACCGAAGGCGAUGCAGCAGACGUAAACCCAGAAUUCUUAACCAAAUGUCAAUAUUAACAAAUAUAUAUGAGUUCCAGAUCAAAUAAACAACCCAAGAAAUAUGCAUAUUGAUAUAUGUAUAUAUAUGCAUAUUGAUAUAUAUAUAGACACACAAUACAAUCACGAGGACCAAAUCAUCAAUUACACCAUAAGGCAAGUUUUCAAGUAGGCAUGAAACUGACAUAUUUACAAAGUAUAUUGAGUCUUUAAUAUGUGCCAUUAGAGUCAAUGAUCAUAAAUAAGUUAGUUUCAUACUCUUCUAGCCUCACAAUGAUGUGAUGUCCCAGAGGAUGAGCCAAGUCUCAAAAUCUCCACACAAAAACAACAAUGCGUAAUAGUGCUUAGUAAGAUCUAAUGGAAAAUUCAUUAAGCCUACCUUGAUCCAAUGAGAUAUUAUCCAUGACUCAAGAAAAGUAAGAAUGCAAUGUUAUAGCUAUCACACAAACCAAUUGAGUCAGUUCAAUAUGCAUAAUAAGCACAAUAAGUCAAUAUUAACAUAACUCAUACACAUAUAGUACAUUCCAAUAAUUCAUUCAUAAGUUCACUUAAUCACAUCACUUCAUAUUUGUUAAGCACUUUAUAAUUCAAAACAUUACUUCUCAAAGUCAUAUAAUAUUUAAGGUUCACAUAACACUUAUCUAGUCACUUCACUUUUUUUUAUUAUAAAGUUUAGAUGUUUAGCCUUUAGCAAUGUUACUGAAAUAAGUUUUGAAUACUGAACAUUUCAACCAAACACCAUUCACUGAAUUUAAUUAAAAUUGCAUCCAACCGAACACCAUACACUUAAGGCCCUCAGUAUGUACAUAAGUGCCAUGCCAUAAUUUAAUAAAUUUUAAAUAUUGAUAUAUGUAUAUAUAACCACAAGAUUAUAAACAGCAAUAGUUAACUUCAUUGUAAUGAGUAGACUAAAUUACCAAAAAAAAAAUUAGACUACCAAACAGAAAAAUAACUAUAGAUUAUUCAAGGAUUUCGUACUACAAAUUCAUUAAGAAGCCCUAUUUUGAAUAAACCCUAUACAUUCACUAAAUGAUCAAUGGCAGAAGUAAAACAAAAGCCCUAAAUCAAAUUUCAAAAUUUCAAGAAACCCAAACAUCUUCAAAACCCCGAAAAGAGAGAUAAGCACAACAAUCUAAGAUUACCAAUGUUAGCAUGCUAAAGUCUAGGGUUCAAAAUAACAACUAAAUGAGAGUACCUAGAUCUGUUGGACUCUCAAAAGCUAGCCUUCAGUCGGGUUUGAUUUCGAAAUGAAAUCCCUUAACCUUUCUGCUUGCUGCAAAAAUAAAACAGAAGUGUAACCUACAUAAAAAAUAAUAGAAAUGAAAUCAAAAUGAAACAAGGAGCUUCGGGUUUGAUUUGAAAUCAAAAUGAAAUGAAACCUGUCGAACCAAAAGAGAAAGGAAGACGGCAAAUGGGCUUGAUUUGGGGAAAAUUUAGGGUUUAAGGGAAAUUUUGAUUUGGGGGAAAAUAAAGGUUUCGGGUUUGUAUUGGGGAUGAAAUGGAUGAAACAAAAAGUGGCGCCGUUUUGUUAAACAUAAUGACGUCACUAAAUCGCAAAAGAAACGACGUCAUUUUAAUUAAACUUUUAGCGGCGUUUUUAAAAAAAGCGCAGCUAAAACUCGAUCUUUUGCGGAAAAAAGUGCCGCUAAAACUCGAUCUUUUACAGCAUUUUUACAAAAGCGCCGCUAAUUCUCGAUCUUUAGCGGCGUUUUUCAAAAAAGUACCUCUAAUUCCUUUGGAGACGCAAUGCAUUUGAUAGUAAUAAAUUUUAAUAGUUUAAUUAUUUCUUAAAUUUCUUUUAGACUAAGUUUGUUUUCUUUCAAACAAUAUAUCUAAUUUGAAAAAAUUUUAAUUAUAUUGAAUAAUUAUUAUUUAAAUAUUUAAUAUUUAAAUUUUAGGUAAAAUCAAUUUAAAAUAAUUUCUAAUAAUUAUUUAAAACAUGAAAUGAAUUGAAAUAAAAAAAUAUAUUUUCAAAACCAUUUUUGAUAAAAAUGAACUUAACAACAUUGAGAAAAAAUGAAAAUUUUUAAAACAUUAGGUUUUUAUUAAAAAUACAAGAGUUGUCAUUGAUAUUUUUAACUAGGUGUGACCAAUACUUAUAAAAUUACCUUUCAUAAAAUAAAAUUUUAAAAAAUUCUUUUAAGAGAUCAUUAUUAUCUGCAUCUUAAAAUUAAAGUAAGGCAAGUUUAAUUUCGAGAAUCGAUUACAUGCAAAGAAAGUUAUAGCAUCUUGUAAUACUCGGAAAUUGAUACCUUAUUAAACACAUAUUAUUUUUUAGAUUUUGAAAUUAUAAAUUCAAAUUCAAUAUUUAAUCAUGAGGCUAUAAAUUUUAAAGUGUGUACGAAUUUUAUAAUUAAGUGAAUUUAAUUUAAAAAAUAAAAAUACUAAAUUUAUUUUAUUUUAUUUUAUUUUUAAAAUUGAUUCUAGUUUGAGAAUUUCAUGUUAACAUUUCGUAUAUAUUCAAUAAUUUUAGGAACCACCUCAUCAAAUUUCGUAAUACUAAAUCUUGCGUAAUUAUCUGGGAAUAUAAACAUAUAUACAUAAUAAAUAUAUGUAUAAACAUGAGAUCUAGUAUUUAAUUAAACCACACUCCGAGCACUCCAAAACCUAGAUUCAACCAGAGCAUCAUUUAAUCAACUAACCUUUAAACCCUAAUACCCUAACCCUUAAAACCUUGAAUACUAAGACCCUAAACCCCAACACUUUAAAACACCAAACCCCAAACAACAAACUAAUUUAAAACACUAUACUCCAAAACCAAAAUAACAAACCCCAAACCAUAAACUUAACAUACUACCAUUGAACCCUAAACCAUAAACUUAAAAUAUAUACUACCAUUUGAACCCUAAACCAUAAGCCUUAAACCUUAAAUAUUAAACCCUAAACCCAAAAAUAAAUUUAAUUAAUAUUAAGUACUGCUUCCACAAUUUAUUAUAAAUAUGAAUUUUUUUAAGGGUUUAGGGUUUUAGAGUUUAUGGAUUAGUGUUUAGGGUUUAUGUUUUUAAAAUUUAGGAUUUAAGGUUUAAGGUUUAGGAUUUAAGGGUUCAGAGAAAGCCAUACAACGUCGAUUUUAACAGCUUGGUAACUUAAAUGAAAACUUCUAAAUAGUUUAGUUAUCAAUUUGUAACUUUUCAUAAUUAAGUAACUAAAAUGAAACUUUCUCAUAGCUAAGUGAAUGGUGUAGUUUAUAUUUUUUUAUAAAGUUAGUUUCAAAUACCAAAAUAAUUAAAUCAAAUUAAAAAAAUAAGAAAAUAAUAUGAAAAUUAAAUCAGAUCAAAUCAAAAUGAGUGACGGUUACCCUACUCAAAAAUGGUUACUCAACUAUUUUCGGCGUUUGGACAAAAAACGCCGCUAUUGAUCAGUAUUAGUGGCAUUUGGACCAAAAACGCCGCUAUUUCUUAGUUUUUAGUGGCGUUUUAGAUAAAAAAGCAGCUAUUGAUCAAUUUUUAGUGGCGUUUUAGCUAAAAACGCCGCUAUUGAACAGUUUUUAGUGGCAUUUAGGCCAAAAACGCUGUUAUUGUUCAGUUUUUUGCGGCGUUAAUGUAUAAUCUUUGCGGCGUUUUUUGUUCAAAAGCCGCUAAAAGCCUGUUUUCUUGUAGUGAAUUAAUCACAUCCUAUGAGGCUCUCUAAGUGUCCUGUUUACUCACAUGUUACCUCCACUAAGAUGUUAGAUGACUUAAAUGUGUCCCACUAAUCACUACACUUCCAUUUAACAAUGACACAAAAACACGAUUUUCAAAUUUAUUAGUGGGAAAGUUCGUUUAAUAAGGUUCUCGCCACAACAAGGAACUCGUUAAUCCUUGAAGUAGAACUCUGCAGUAUCGACGAAAUUCAGUAAAGUAUUUUGCCACGAAGUUACCAAUCUUAUUACGUCUAAGUCUCGCGACUUAGGUGGUCUUUACUAGCAUAGUCUCUCAAACAAUGCUACCUCGCCAAAUAAGGGUGUGACAGAUAAGUAUACUUAUAAUCGUUGAAAAUUAAAACCCCAUAGGCCUUGACACCAAGGAUCUCGAAGUUACUCUAUAGAAGUUUAUUAUGAAAAAUAAUCUCAAAAUAACAAUAUUUAAAUAAAAAAAAUUGAGAUUUAACAACAUUAUAAAUAAAAAAAACUCAAAAUAACAUAUCAAAAUAAGUUACAAAAACUUUUCCAACAUUUAAUUUAGUGAUGAGUAUUUUUUUAACUUUUAAAUAAAUUAAAAUUUUCUUUGUUUUAAAUAUAAGAAUCUUAUUGAUAGCUACUGAAUUGUGAUUGAAAACAAUAGUCCAAAGGAAUAAUAGACAUCAACGUUGAAAAAUGAAUUUAUUAUCUUCAAAUUUUAUAAUUUAUUUAUAUUUAUUAUUGAAAAAAUAUUUUUUUAUUUAUCCGUUAACCAUGGAAAGCGUAACAUAAAUAUAAAGUUUUAAUCAAAAUGAAAGUAUUAUCUAUACAAGGUAAUAUAUAUUAAUGAAAAUGAAAAUAAUUUCAACUUAGUUUUAAUUUUUUUUACAAGGUGAGAUAUAUUAUUUCGAAGGUAUUUAUAUUUUUUUUAUUUUAAUAAAUCUAAAAAGGCAUAUACAUAUAACAAGAAUUAUAAAAUUUGAACUCAUGAUAUCAUAUAUUCCACAAUAUUAACAUUAUCAUUUCAAUUAAAGCUACAUUUAAUUUUUAUAAUAUUUUUUUAUAAAUUUAGUCCUGAUUGUUUCUUGAGAAAGCUCAAAGAACAUUUCAUAACAACCACAACCAAACAUCCCUCUCAAAAAUCUUAGUUGCAAUAAAUAAAUUCAUGCAUACUAUAAACCGUAUUCAGUUCAUGCAUGGCAUUGCGCAAUAAUUAGCUGACGUGGAAUAAACUAUUUAAAAAUGGGCCUGGACCCCACCCGCCGGCCCGUUUUCCUUCAUAACUACUUCAUAUUUUGUCGUCGAACUCAACGAGAGACAGAAAAACCGAAAAAUAGUGACACGGCAACCCUCACUCAAAUCUAAUCUCUCAAAUUAAAAUGGAAAAUCAUUUUCAAAAUUAAAAGCUUACGUCUGAAAUCAAAUCACGCCUCACCAGGGGAAAAAAAAGAAGAAGCACUGUCGUCGGGCAUCGUGAGAGGAAAAUGGGGGUGCCGCAGGCAAUGGCUGCUUUGCGGGACAAAGCAGCGCUCGUAAGAGAGUCCUUGCAGAAGAGCCAAACCAUAACGGAAAGCAUGGUCUCCAUUCUCGGUUCUUUCGAUCACCGUCUCUCCUCUCUUGAGACUGCCAUGCGCCCCACUCAGGUCUCUUCUCUAUAUUUCCUUCAAUUACCACAACCUCUCUUUUCUUUUUCAAUUUUUUGUUUGAUGGAGGAAUUAAGUGAUUUAUUAUUAUUAUUAUUAUUAUUGAGAGAACUGUUAGGUUUUGAUUCCAAUAGUGAUUUGCUUUCUUUGUUUUUACGUAGAUACGAACGCAUUCCAUCAGGAGAGCGCAUGAGAAUAUUGAUAAGACACUUAAAGCAGCUGAAGCUAUUUUGGGGCGAUUCGAUCUCACGCGCAAGGUUUUUCGUUUUUCUGGUUUUCUCUGAUUUAUCGCUCUUUUGUUUAUUUUAUUAACUAAUCUGAGAUUAAGGAAACGUAAUUAUUUUUUGUUUAUUGGAUCCAUUUGGCGCUCAGGAUAGAUAUAAUAUUUUAUUCUGCAAAGGAAAUUAAUUGGUCAAAACUAUAAUUCGAACGCUGUGUUGAGCUAGAAGAAGAAGUUCAAUUUUAAAACGUGAUUUAUGUUUUAGUAUUUUCCCGCAGCCAAACAGAACUUGUUUUGGAAUUUUGUCACCAUUCUCCCAAUUAUACCAUAUAGUUUGGAAAUAUGAUGUCGUUUGUAUUGUUAAUGCUGAUAUUUGUACUUAUACAUACGUAAUUUAGGCGGAAGCAAAGAUUCUGAGAGGGCCACAUGAGGAUCUUGAGAGCUAUCUUGAAGCAAUUGAUCAGCUGAGAAGCAAUCUUCAGUAUUUCACUACCCACAAAUGUUUUAAAAGUACAUCUGGUAUAAUUACCCAUGCCAAUAAUUUGCUGACAAAAGCUAUCUCGAAAUUAGAGGAUGAGUUUAGAAACCUAUUAACAAAUUACAGGUUGGUUUUAAGAUUUUCUGCAUUAUGCUAAUAUGCUUGGAUGAUUCUUUUAGAAUGGGAAAUAUUAAAGUGUUCUACGCGUUCUUUGAACUUCAGCAAGGUGGUGGAACCUGAUCGCCUUUUCGAUGGUCUACCAGAUUCAUUGCGACCAUCAGCAACAUCACCUGGAAAGCGAAAUGAUAGCAAGAAAGAUUCUGAUAACCAAAAGAACUCAGAAAAUGCUGUUUACACACCUCCGACUCUUAUACCGCCCAGGGUUCUACCUUUGCUGCAGAAUUUAGCCCAACAAAUGGUUCAAGCUGGUCACCAGCAACAGUUGUUCAGGAUUUAUAGGUGACACCUGUUUUUCAUGAUCUGAUACUAAUAUGUUUAUGUUUCUCCUUAGUGAUUAUAGCUUUUAACCUUCGCCGCUAAUUGGUUUCAAAAUUUAUGUGUUGUGAGAAAUAUGUGAAGAAUUAUAUUAUUAACUCUUCUCUGCUGGUCGAGUCGAAAGUUUAAAAUCUUUUUUUUUUUUUAAUUUAAUAAGGUCUUGGUACUAUUUGAGACUGGCAAGUAGCUUAAGUAAUGAUACAUCAAGAUUCUAGAGCACUAGAACUUGGCAUGAUAAAUUACUUUAUGACCAAAAUUUCAUAUUAGAUUUUUGCAUAUAUAGAGCAUCUCUUAUUUUUUUGGAUUUUGGAAAAACUUUGAUCUUUGUUUGGGCUUCACCUUUUGGUGCUCUGGAAUCUUGAAUAAUUGUUGCAAAUGAUAUGAUAUUUCUAAAUGCUAGGGAUACUCGUGCUUCGGUCUUGGAACAGAGUCUGAGGAAAUUGGGGGUAGAGAGACUUAGUAAAGAUGAUGUCCAGAAAAUGCAGUGGGAGGUUUUGGAGGCUAAGAUCGGGAAUUGGAUACAUUACAUGCGUAUUGCUGUAAGGAUUCGUGUAAAAUUCUCUUCAGUGGUAGUGUUCUACUUCUGGUUCUUUUGGCCAACCCUUGUCAUAAUAAUGCUUGAACAGGUCAAACUGCUCUUUGCCGGAGAAAAGAAAAUCUGCGAUCAGAUACUUGCAGGCAUUGAUUCUCUCAGGGAUCAAUGUUAUGCUGAAAUCACUGCAAACAGUGUAUCCGUACUUCUUAGUUUUGGAGAAGCUAUUGCCAAAAGCAAGAGAUCACCCGAAAAAUUAUUUGUUCUUCUGGAUAUGUACGAGAUAAUGAGAGAACUACAGUCAGAGGUAUCAUUAAUUUUUUCUUGCAGCAUAACCAUUACAAUAUGAUGAAUUUUCUUUUUUUGAAACAGUGUCAGUUUAUUCCUUUUAUUUGUGAUAAUCAUAUGAAUGAGAAGCACACCAUGAUUACUUUAUGUUCUUUUUUGUUCUUAAUCCAUUCAAUUCAUGCAUAAAUUGCAACUCAAUUGGAAAAGGUUUAGGGUCAGAUACAAGUUUAUCUAAAACAUUAUUGUGAACAUGCAUUUAUGUAGUUAACUGCUAAGAUUUUUUUAUGCAUUAAAAUGACAAAGUUACAGAGUGAAACAAAAUAUUUCCGUAGUGAGAUUAACUAGCAUUGCUUUAUUGUCCAUUUAACUAUGCACUUUGAUAAAAGUACAACAUGCAUUGUAGGGACAAAUGCAUAUUGAUUCACAUGAUUUUAUAAGCUGACACUUAAUCCUUCUCUCUCUCUGGGGGAAUGUGGACAGAUUGAUUAUCUCUUUGGAACAAAAUCUUGCACGGAAAUGCGGGAAUCUGCUCAAAGUUUGACAAAGCGGCUAGCUCAGACAGCGCAAGAGACAUUUGGGGAUUUUGAGGAAGCAGUUGCGAAAGAUGCCACCAAAACCGCAGUUCUUGAUGGAACUGUCCAUCCUUUGACUAGCUAUGUGAUAAAUUAUGUGAAGUUUCUAUUCGAGUAAGUUGUAUUUUUUCCACUUCCAACUGCUGCUGGAUUUUAGUUGUUAUUGCUGUAUCACUGUAUAUUUGGAUUGUGUGCUACAAGUAAUAUUUGCUUGGUCAAUCACAUUUGAUUGUGGUUGUUGAGUGGUGCAGCUACAAAACAACACUGGAGCAACUCUUUCAAGAGUUUGAGGAGAGUGAUACCGAAGCUCAGUUGAAGACUUUAACUACAAGGAUAAUGGAUGCCCUACAGACUAACCUUGAUGGGAAAUCCAAGCAGUAUAAGGACCCUGCACUGACACAACUAUUUCUGAUGAACAACAUGCACUACAUAGUGAGAUCUGUGCGAAGGUGUGUUUUAUGUUUUUACUGUGUUUCGUUGGGAUGAUUCAAAAAUAAACUCUUUAAUAUUUCAUUGACAGGUCAGAAGCCAAGGAUUUGUUGGGAGAUGAUUGGGUUCAAAUCCACAGACGGAUUGUUCAGCAGCAUGCAAAUCAGUAUAAAAGGAUUUCUUGGGCAAAGGUUCUGUUUGCCCCACUUAUACUAUGCAUUCAUAUAGCUAAAAUAACAUGCUAAGUGGUUCUCUUUUAGUCGUGCAGGUCCUUCAGUGUGUCACCAUUCAAGGGGUUGCACCAACUGGUGGUGGUGGAAUAUUGGGAGGUGAUUCCGGCAGUGGAAUAUCAAGAGCAAUGGUGAAAGACAGGUUUAAGAAUUUCAAUGCCCAGUUUGAGGAUCUUCAUAUGAGGCAGUGCCAAUGGAAUGUCCCAGACAGUGAAUUGCGCGAGUCCUUGAGGCUUGCUGUUGCAGAAGUACUCUUGCCUGCCUAUAGAUCCUUCCAUAAACGUUUCGGGCAAGUUCUGUUUAUAAUUUUUUUUGUGGCUUCUUUUCUUCCUUUUCACCUCUCUCAAUCUCAUCAUUUAACACUAACUCUGUUGUUUUGGUUUCUUGUGCUUGAAUUAACAACACCACAGGCCUAUGGCCGAGAGUGGGAAAAGCCCUUGCAAGUAUAUUAAAUACAAGCCCGAGGACCUUGAACGAAUGCUAAGUGAGUUCUUUGAAGGUAAGACAUGCGUCGAACAAAAGCGAUAAAAAACAAAAAGGCAAAUGCUGGUGAGAAUCUGUUAAGAAAUUUAGAUACUGAUGAAAUGGAGCUUUCAACUAAUCAUUGUAGAAUGACGAGGUUGUGUGUAUUUUUUUCUGCAAGGCUUGCUUUGUUCUUCUUGUGUCUUUUUCAUCUGAGUGAGUUUUGUACAGUUCUGUGAAGGGGAGAGGGAAAAAAUGAAACUGAGAGUUUGAUUUUAAAUUUCAAUAUUAAGUUAAUAAAUGUCCAGAUAAAUUAAAAAGGUUGUGCAUCUUAGUCACAGAUAUUCUGUUUUUUUUUUUUGUUCACAUUCCAAGUGUUUUUUGGUGUAGCGUCAUUAAUGAAAAAUGUAGUGAUAUAUUAUCACUAAUUAACUGUGUACUUGAUAAAACUUAAUUUAGAUUUUUUUUUAUGAAAAUUAAGUAUUAAAUUUAUUUUUGUUAGGUAAAGAGUAAUGAAAAUUUAAUAUAUUUAAACUUAGUUCAGUAACCCUUUGGUCGGCAUGGGCAUGUGAUGUCUAAUUCACACGCUUUUUGCUCAAACCAAAUCUCUUCUCCUCAAAAUCAUUAUUUAACCACUCCUAUUAAAAUUAUUUCCAACACUCUCAAUCAUUUUCAAAAAUGUAAAAUUUAUAGAUGAAAUGGGAUGAGUUUUUCUGUACAAUAUAAGUUAAAAAGCGUCAACUAUAGAUGUUGUAAUAGAAGUUCAUGAAGCGGUCACAAUGAAAAGCACCACUUGUGUACGCUUCCAAUAUAAGCGGCUCUCGGUUUUCUGCUUCUUGUGUGGCCAGUUGGGCCAUGGGGAGAGCUUUUGCAGCGGACGUGCCCAGGAUUGGGAUGUGACAUUGCGAGCAGGGCCUCGCCGGGGGCCAGUGGUGAAUAGUUGUUGGUUACGUGGGGAUCACAGGGUUCCUCUUGCUAAUUUGGGGGUGAAGAAUAAAGGGUUUGAGGAUGUGGGGGAGGUUUUCACAAGUUCUACUUUUGUGCAAGAUAUUAGCCUUAAUUUGGAAGUUGGCGGGUAGUUCAAAUGUGGGGUUGAUGGGUCAAAAGUUGAAUGAUCAGGGUGAGUUGAGCCGUGUCAUGUUCUCAAAGCAUAAUUUGGAGGACCGACCUGGGGAGGUGGAUGAUGGUAAGAAGCGAGCUCGUGUGGCAUUGGGAGCAACGUCUGCUUCUGACACAGUGGAUUCGAGCGUUUUUGGCAUCGAUCAUGUCAUGUCUGUUGAUCAUCCUGUAUCAGAAGAUUGUGAGUUAUGCCAGUCGGGCCCAAUGAAGUUAUGCUAGAACGUCCGUGGAUUGGGGAACCCGCAUGCCGUUCAACGCUUUCAGUCAGUACUGAGAAAACAUAAUCCCACAUAGUUUUUUUUCAUAGAAACUAAAUUAAUAUAUCGUAAAAUGGAUGGUAUUCAUCGUAAGCUUGGCUUUUUAAAUGGUAUUGAUGUUGGUUCUUUCGGAUUUAGAGGUGGAUUUUCGAUUGGUUAGAAACUCGGGAUUGAUAUUUGGUUGCGGUCUUACUUGCGGCAGCAAAUUGAUAAGGAUGUGUUGACGAUGAUGGUGGGAUGCCGUGGAGGUUUACUGGUUUUUAUGGAUCCCCAGACGAGAAGUCUCGAUCGACAUCUUGGGAUCUUUUACGGCAGCUUUCUUCGCAGUCCACAGGACGGUGGUUGGUUGCAAGAGAUUUUAAUGAGAUUGCAUACUCGUUUGGGAUAUCCGGUGGGCAAGUCCAGGAUGAGCGGCAAAUGGUAGCCUUCCGUCAAGUGUGGGAUGAUUGUAAUCUUGCUGAUACUGGGUACUAUGGAUCCUGGUUUACUUAGGACCGUCGGCUUCUUGCUGCUAAUAAUAAAUGGGAAAGGCUUGAUAGAUGUUUGGCGUCGGCUGAUUGGAUUGAUUUUUUUUCGCAUUAUGCAGUGAAACAUUUGCCGCACAGUGUAUCGGAUCAUUAUCCUUUGUUGUUAAGUACUGCAGUUCAAUCCAAUGAUUUUGUGGCACAUCAGUGUCGAUUUGAAAAUUGUUGGGUCUUAGGAUUCUUGUGAGGAGGUCAAUCGAGCUAGUUGGAGUGGUAGUGUCGGUAGUUUGCCGGUUAAAUUAUCUCAAUUGGGAGCUUAUUUUCAAAAUUGGUUGAAGAAUACUAGGUUGAAUUGGCGGCGGUUUACUACUACUUUGCAACAACGCUUGAUAAUUUGAAUAGUUUGGAUCCGGAUGACUCUGUUUUAGGCAGGUGAAACUGGCUCUUAAUCUUGAAUCAGGUAAGCAAGAGUUGUAUUGGGAGCAGAAGGCACAUGCUAAUUGGAUGAAAAAUGGUGACCGUAAUAUUGGUUUUCCAUUCCUUUACAAGGGCUAGAAAGUGACGAAACAAAAUUGAUAGUCUUGUCAAUACAAUGGGAGUGGGGGCUAGGAACCAAGUGGAAUUGGGGAAGGUUGCGCUGCGGGUGUGCAAUUAAUACUGAAUUAAUCGAUGGAAUUAAAUUAUUUUGAGAAUCUAACUUCAUCAUAUCAAUUAAGAGUUUUUUUAAAUUUCAAUUAACAAUUAAUUCGAUUCGUAAUUUGGUAAAUAAUUAAAUUAACUAAUUAAUCAAAAUUAAUAAUAAUAAAAUAUUAUAAGCCUAAUAUAUUUUAUAAGUCUAAUAAAUUAAGUAAGCCCAAAUUAAAUAAUAAGCUUAAAACUAAUUGGAUUUAUACAAAUUAUUAUAAUUUACUUAAAAUCAUAAUAGAUUUAUACAUCUUUAAACUAAAAAUAUAUAUAAAAAGUGAAAAAAUAAAAGAAAGGAGCCUUAAUUUUUUUUCUUUCCAUUGUCAAACUCAAAACAAAGUCUCGGUGGGCGCUACUUGACACUAGAGCAUCUUUUAUUCUUCUCGACUUCUUCGAAUAUAUAUAUAUUUUUGCAUUUUCAAACUUUUUUUCAUUUCAUCACUCAAGUCUUAGACAUUCUUGUUUUUAAAGCAGUGUUUGUUAUGAUGGUUUUAAAUUAGUGUUGUUAUUGUCUUAUUUGUUGUUUUUGCUUACUUUUUUAAAAUUAGAAACAAGGAAAAAUAACAUUGCAAUGGUAUUUUUUAUAUUUCAAACUUAUUUGAGCAAAACAAAAAAAAAACAUGUAAAAUUUUUUAUUUUGUUAAUAGUUAAAACUUUUAUGAUUUUGGUUAAUUCGAUAAUGAUAAUUCGGUUUGAAUAUUAAUCGAAUUGACCGUUUGAUCACCCUUAUGCGUUCUUAUUUUUUAAAAUUAUUUGCUUCGUAAGGGGUAUGUGAUUUUUCAAAAUUGUUUUACCUUACAACUUUUAGUUUUGGGGGUGUUAAUUAAUUUAAGAGUUAAAUAUAAAAUUAGUACUUGAACUUGUCCACUUCUCCCAAAUUGACAUUUAUGAAUUUUUUUGUUCUAAAUUGAUAACUGAACUUUUUUUUCCGUCCACUAUAUUGGUAAAAAAGCCUAAUGUCGUUAGCUUUUUAUUGACAUGUCAACACUAUCCAAUCACACGCGCCUCGUGGCAUCCUCUUGUACAUCUUUUUCUUUUUCUUUUUCAUUUCCCUCAUUUUCUCCCCUUUUUUUCUCUUCUUUACUUUUCUUUUUCCUACCCUUGUCUUCUUCACUCCUCUUCAUCUUCUAGUUUAAGGGACAACUGCAACAAAGAACCAACGCUAGAUUCUUGGGUUUUUUUUCUUGACUUUUUAAGAAAAAAUAUUAAUUUUCGGUAUUUCAAGUUCUGGGUUUUCAACAUUUUACUUUGAAUGAGUUUUUUUUUUUUUAAAUCCCCUCCCAAAUUUUUUCCUUUUCAUGGUUCUCUUUAAAUGGGUGUUAAAUUGUGCUUUAGCUAGUAAUCGUAAACACAGUGGUAGUAAACAUCGCUCCUUACAGACGGUGCAACAUAGUUCAUCGUCGAUAUGGGUUUCGUUUAUUUCCACCAUCGACAUUGCUAUCAUAGCCGCUUUUGACGUCGGCGGUUGGUCAUUUUGUCCUCAUUUCGAAAGGGAACAGUAAGCUAGAAAUUCACCGCGUCGGUAGAACAAAGAUACGGCUAAGAGAUUAGAGGUUGAGAGGGUUUAGUAUUUUAUUUUGCUUAAUAAUUGGUUUAGUUAGAAGAGUAAUAUGAUUUAUUUAGUUUUUAAAGUUAAUAAUAAAAUUAAGUGAUAAUGGCUGAGAAACGGUUUAAAAACAAGAGAAAAUGAAGGAAAUGAAAAAGAAAAGAAAAAGAAAAAGUGUACAAGAGGAUGUCAAAUGGCGGCAAGCCCAUUUUUGUAAUUUUGAGGCUCUAGGAGAAGGGGCCCUUUAAAAAAAAAUUAUAGAUUGUAAUAUAAUAAAAGCUUAAAAGUUUAGGGGGCUCUAAGAGAUGAAGCCUUUUAUUGUGAAAAUUUAAAAAUUUUAGACAUUUAAUUAAUUUAUUUUAGUCUGACACUUUUUCCCAUAUUAGAAACUGAUAGUAUUAGACUAAUGUAUUAAUAUAGUGGACAGAAAAAAAUUCGGAUAUAUACCAACUUGAGACAAAAAAAAAUCAUAAGUACCAAUUUGAGAGAAGUGGAGAAGUUUGGUUACCAAUUUUAUAUUUAACCCUUAAUUUAAUUGUAAUUUUUAGGUUGUAAGUUAUUUAUUUUAAUUAGAUUAUUUGGGUAAUUGGAUUUAUGUUUGAGUUUAGUUGGGAUAGGUGUAUAUUGGAUAUAGCUUAUUUGAUAUGUAAUUAUUAGAGGUUGAGUAUCGCUAUGAGUUAAAAAAGAAAUCGAUUUAUUGUGGAAAUUAAAAAUAAAAAAUAAAUUAUAAAAAUUGAAUAAUUAUAUCGAAAAAGCAAUUGAGUUAACCUAUUUUUGACAUAUCUCUCUACAUAAUUCAAACAUAAAUAGGUUUUUAUGAUGUUUCAGAAGAUGUUUGAAGGGAGUAGGAAUGAAAUGAGAUGAUUGUCUGUCGGUUACCAAAUUGAGGUUUAUAUGAAAAUGAAAAUAAAAUUAUGAAGUUAAAAAUAGGUUUGUAUCCAAAAUAUAAGACACGCUCCCCACUCGUUUUUAAGGUUCACUUCUUUAACCUUUUCUCUCUCUAUUUUACGUGAGAGAGAAAAACAAAGAUUGCAACCCAAAAAAGAGAAUGGCAUCUGAUCAUGUAGGAAAACCAAAUGAGCAGACGACAGAUAAAAAUACAACACCCACAUCAUCACAACAACAACAACAAGGACCUCCAAUCCAAUGGCCGCCACAAAGUCAUCCGCCGCAGGUCUGUUAUCCUCCAGCAAUUGUGCCUCCCAACGCCCAAUUCCAUGGCUACAAUGCACUUCCUCCCCGCGGCGGAUACGGCCCUUACCCUUACCCGCCACCGGGGCCAUAUUAUGGACAGGGUUACAUACAAUCAGAGCACCGUCAUCGUUGUUCGGGAGCUUGUCGUUGCUUUUUGGUAUUUUUGAUUCUGGUAAUUGUGAUUUUGCUGCUAACAAAGCUGAUCAUCUAGGCAACUCUUCUGCCACGAUUCCCAGUUUUCCACGUAGAGAACAUGCAUGUCACAAAUUUCAAUACCGACGCAAAUCCUUUCACGGCAAGGUGGGAGACGGAGAUUAGAAUUGAAAACCCCAACACUAAAUUGUAUCUUUAUGUGGAUGGAAUGGAGGUUUUUAUGAAUUACAACGACAAAUACGACGUGGGGUUUACUUGGAUCAACCCCAUGUUCAUGGAAAGCAAGAACAAAACCUCGAUGCAAGUUGUGAUUAACACAGGGGAGUCGGCUCAUCACGCCGUCCCCAUUUGGAUAGCCCAAGACAUGGGCAAAGAUCAAAAGAAUGGGGGCGUCAAUUUUGUGUUGAAAAUUAAGGUCUGGGCCACCUUGAAAAGUGGGAUGUGGUUGUGGUUCAGGAGGAGCUUGAUACUCAAUGUUGAAUGUGAUGAUUUGAAGGUUAAUUUCGGGAAUUCCUCAAGGGAAGGAACUUUGGAAUAUAUUAAAGACCGUGAAGAUUGCUAUGUUAGCACCUGAAUGAAUCCUCUAUUCUUUUACUUUUAAAUUUAUAUGCAAUACAUCCUUUCCUGCAUCUAUGAAGUGGGUUGCUUUGGGAUAGUUAUGUUAAUAGACUAGUAUCUUGCUCAUUCAAUUUCAUGUUUUUGUAUCAACAAAACCUGCAAAAUGUCAUAUGAUUUUUAAGAGAUGUAACUUUCCUUUUUCUCUGCUUUUUUUUUUUUUUUGGGGGGGGGGGGGAGGGGGGUGCAUGGGGUGAUUAUGUUUUCAUUUUCCUCCUAUUUCAAUUUCUAUUUUAUUAGAAAUAGUUACAAUACCUUUUUUUUUCUUUUCUCUACCCAACCAAGGUCAUGAAGGAAGUUGGUCCAUCCAAGAAGGAAUGCCACAUUCAUUUCCUCUUCUCUUCAACUAAUCACUGCAAUUUUUUUCAAUUAUUGUUUAUUUUUGUAUAUUCAACAUUUUCUCUUUCGCUGGGUAAAUCUUUUUAAUGCCACGAUUUAAGAAGUUGUUGAGGUUUAAUAUAAAAAGGAAGAGAAAUAAAUAAAAACUUAUUCAAUUUUAAUAAAAAUUAAACUAAUUUAAAAACUCUUAAAACUUUUUAAAUUCCAAUGACAACUUCUUAGUAAAAUAAUAGACAAAAUGAAAUUUCACUACCCAUAUUUAGUUAAAAACUUAAUUUAAUUUUAGAGUCCAUAUUGAUUUUUUCUUAAUUUAUAAAAUAUUGAAAUGAAACUAUUAUAAAAAAAAAAAGGAAAUUCAAAGACUUAGUAUGUAUGUACAAAGAUAAAUUACAACUUCAAUUUUUUUUAAAUUGAAAAUGUAGUAUAAUUAUUAGAGAUAAAUGAUAUGGUUUAUUUGGACAUGAAAUGUAAUAAUAAAAUUAGAAUAAUUUAAUGCUAAUAAUUUCAAUUUUUUUAUUAGUAAUUUUUUUAGAUGCCAUUUAAUUGAAUAUGUUUAAUUAUUGGAUACUAUAAUUUAAAUUUUAAUUGGUACAUAGUAUUAAUUAAGUGAUAAUUACAAUGCUUAUAAUUUUAUUCGAGUAAUAACUCUAUUUUACAUCAAUUAAGUUAGCAUAAUUUUUUUUUAAAGUGAGCACAACUUUUUUUACUUCAAAAUUUUAACAAAUAAUUGUAAAUUAAAUUAUAAUUAUCAUAAUUUUUUUUAUAUAUUUUAUGCUUAGAGUUAUAUAUUCAAGUAAUAACUCUAUUUUAAAAUUAGCACAAUUUCUUUUAACUAAUAAUUUUAAAAUAAAUUAUAUUUAAUUUUAAAACUAAUUUAAUAAUACGAUAAACAAUAAAAAAUAUUCUUAUCAAUUCAAAAAUUUCUUCAAGCUCAUACCUUUAUAUAUAUUAUAGAUAAUGACAUUCAUAUUGUAUAUUUUUCUUAUUCUAUAUAUUUUAAUAUUAUAAUUCUCUAUUAUAAUUAUUUUAUUAAAUUCCAAUUUUGGAAAAUUCUUUCUUAAAGUAUUUGUCUAAGUGAUGCAAUUAUAUUUAAUACUUUUUUAAUAUAUUAAUUCUAAAAUAUCAUUCUUUUUAAAAACUUUGAUAGAUAUAUGGGAUUUUCAUUCUUCAUUUAGGUAGAUGUGAUUAAACUUAAGUUCAGAUAAAUUUAAAUAAAAUUUACACAUAAUUUACAUAGAGUGAAAAUUAAACUUGAUUACUUAAAAUUGCAAAUCCCCAAACUUAUCAAUACAAAUAAAACUUCAUUGACUUCGUUUAUCAAAUCCUACAUAUGACUUUCUUUCCCAAAAAAUAAAUCCUUUUCUUCCCUUUAAAUUCUCAUUUUCCAUCUUUUCCUCUACUUUUGUAGCUUGGAUUUUUCUGCAGCCAAGAUAAUUCCCUAUUAAUCAAGAGUUCCCUCCUUCCUCUUUCCCUUUUUCUAUUUCCUUAAUUUUUCAGCUUAAGCCAUCAAUUUUUUGAUGAUGGGGGCAAGCUGUUUUCUUCAUAGUUAACAGUCUAAUAGGACGUGUAUUACACGCUCUGAACUGUUGAUUAUAUGACAAAUAAUCAAAAUAAUAAAAAUAAAAAUAAAUCUAAAAAUUAUAUAUGAAUUUAAUUUAAUGUGUAAUUUGAUAAUCAAUUUUAUUUUGGUAGAGGCUAUAGCAUCAUUCUUCAUCUUCCCCUAGAAAUAUCAUAAGAGAAGAAAGUAAAAAAGAAGUAUAAUACGCCUGGUUCACGAGGUUCUACCACUUUCGUUAUAGGCCCAAUCAUAGUCAAAAGAAGAGUUUGAUUCUAUAUAAAAUAAAAAACCGCAGUAACAGCUUAAUCAGCAACUUUGGUACCGACAUCCACUUUUUUUUGUUCUAUACUCUCCACUUGAUGUGGAAGCUGUACAAUCAUACACAAAACUUUGAUUAUGAAACUUUGGCCGUGGUUCAAAUGUAUACAUGCAAAUUUAAUUUGAUUCAAUUAUACAUAUUUAAAUAAAUAAAUUAUUCAAUUUAUUGUGUCUUUAAUAUAAUUAUUUCUAUAUGCAAUAUAUAAAUAUAAAACUAUGUUAUAUCAAUAAUUGUGUUAAUAAUUUAUGAGAACUGAAUCAAAUCAAAUUUUUAUAUAUAAAAUUGUACAAAAUCAAAAUGUAUUUAUACUGUAAUCGGCCAAAAUUGUUCGCCCCAAGACCCAUAAACAAUAAACAAAAAAGAGACCAAAACAGUCCAAUUUUUAAGCCGAAAAUACAAAAAAAUAGAAACCUAAACCACUACCCAAACCCUAAACCCAUCAGACCUAAACCCAAAACAAACCCCAACCUCAACCCUUUCUUGCGUCGUUCUAGCAGGCCACACGCCUCCCUCGCGCGCCGCAACGUGCGCCACUCCACCACACCACGUCGGAGUCGUGCUCGAUCACGCACCUGUAAACAAGCAAGAAACAGUUGUAAAAAAAAGGCUAUAAAAGCUUUCGAAAACAUUUGUAAAAAGGGAUCAAUUUUUUUCAAAAAAUAUACAAGAGAAAUAGAAUACGAAAUAUAAUAUAAGAUACACAUGAAAAUCAGUAGAAAAGCGACCAAGAAUAUUUCUAAGGUGAUUAUUUACUACAAUUUUGUUCCAUUUUUCCUUUUUCUUUUCUCCAUUUAGAUCCACAGCACAUACGAAGAAUCGGAGAGAGGAGAAGAGGCUUACCGUGCGUUGUGCUUGCACCGUUGGAGGACCUUGCUUCGCCGGUUACAAGGGGGUUGAAGGCCUGAACACUAGCCUUUCGGCUGGGAAACAAUGAGAGUGAGGGAAUGGAGAAAAUAAUAAGAAACUUUUAGGGUUUUCUAAAAGCUUCUUAAAUGUUUUAAAUAUAUAUAUAUAAAAUAAAUGUUUUUUUUUAAUUUUGAAAUAGCAAUAUUUGGGGUGGGGGGAGAAAGAAGCCCGCGUAGUGACCCGAUUAAUAGGCUGGGUCCGCGCAUUUUUACCUUGAAUGGGUAAUUUUCGGUCCCAGUCCUUCCCAUUUGUACUACUUUUUAAUUUGGCCCUAUUUGAAUCCUAUUUGUUUUUAAAUUGCCCGUGGAUGUUGCGCAUAAACUCAUUUUAAUCCACGCCUGAACGCUGCAUUUUGUGGGCUUGGAAUUUUUUUCCUAUCGGUCCUUCCCCUUUGCACGUGCGCCUACUUUGGUCCCAAUUCAUGAUUUGGUAUUUCUUGGUAUUUUACGACUUGCACCCCAUGUUUCAUUUUGAUUAUGAUUAAAUCCCAAACCUUUU